UUGGUUUGUUCUUACAUCUAUACUUUAGUUGACCCAUCGAGCAGUAUUUUCAUACUUUUGAGAGGAUGUAGAGUCGUUCCAUCCUAGUUGACCUGAGUGGUCGGUUCUUGUGCUUCCUUACAGUUGAUGACCUAUACGGUCGGUGAGCCCUGUGGGUAGGAUUGUCGGCUGGUUGCCGACGGUUGACCUUUGAGCAUAUCAGCAUUGACCGCCCGAGACUCGUUCACAUUUCACGAACACCGGCGGUCUGAUCCACCGCAACGGGUGUUCUUUUCCGGAAAAGUGGUUGCAUGUGUCAACCCGUGAGCCCAAGAGGGGUUAUAUGCAUAGUAGAGUGGCAGUGGUACUGUCAGGAGGUUUGCGGUGCGGACCUCGAGGGCACAGGCAUGAGGUUCAGGUGCGGACCAACAGAGCAGCAGAUUUCAGAUUGGGUAUAUUUGGUCUAUACAUCCAGUUGACGCAUAUGUCUAUAGUAGCAGUCAUUGCAUGCAUACUUACAGUUCUUACUUUAUAGUUGUCUUGCUACUAUAGUAGAUAUUCAUGUAUGCUUUCUGUUCUAGUUACAGUAGCGGUAACCGUUAUUUAGUAUAGUUCCUACAUUCUUUCAGUUUAUUGCUACUGUAUUCAGUAUAUCUGCUCAUUUCCUUGUCUAUCUCUUCCUGAUCCGGUGAGUACUUCUCGCCUUCAUCGGCUUGCAGUACCCAUCAGGAGGAAAGACAUGUUUACAUGUUCUCACCUCCCCCACCAUUUUUCAGGUAUUGCGGGCGGUAAGAUUGAGACGAGAUGUGAGACACGUGGAUAGCCGUCGAUAGAACUUCUGACCCGGUUUGUGUAGUUUAGUUACUACCUCUGCGUGGAUUACCGCGAGUUGAACAAGGUUACGGUGAAGAAUAAGUUCCUGUUGUCGAGGAUUGAUGACUUAUUCGAUCAAUUGCAAGGGUCAAGGGUAUAUUCAAAGAUUGAUCUCCAAUCAGGGUAUCAUCAGUUGAAAAUACGACCCGAGGAUGUGCACAAGACGGCGUACCGUACGCGGUAUGGCCAUUAUGAAUUCACGGUGAUGCCGUUUGGGCUUACUAACGCCCUGGCGGCGUUCAUGGACUUAAUGAAUAGAGUCUUCCGUCUGCUAUUGGACCGGUGCGUCAUGGUAUUCAUUGACGACGUAUUGGUAUAUUCUCGGACCGAGGAAGAACACGAGGAGCAUUUGAGGACCGUGUUGGAAAUACUCCGAAAAGAGAAGUUAUAUGCCAAGUUGAAGAAAUGCGACUUUUGGCUAUCGGAGGUCACUUUCCUUGGUCAUGUAAUUUCAGGCGAUGGUAUCUCGGUGGACCCGAAGAAAGUUGAGGCAAUUAGAGAUUGGCCUCGCCCGACGAGCGUAUCGGAGGUCCGUAGUUUUCUUGGGCUAGCGGGCUAUUACCGGCAGUUCGUGGAGGAGUUUGCUAAAAUAACUACUCUCCUAACGCGCCUCACACACAAAGGGGUGAAAUAUGUUUGGAGCCCCGAAUGCGAGCGGAGCUUCAAGGAGUUAAAAGAAAGAUUGACCACGACCCCGGUGCUUGCUCUACUGAUGCCAGGCGAGACAUUUGUGGUAUGUAGUGAUGCUUCCUACGUUGGACUCGGGUGUGUCUUGAUGCAAAACGGGUGGGUUAUAGCUUAUGUUUCACGCCAAUUGAAGACGUAUGAGAAGAACUACCCGAUCCAUGAUCUUGAGCUAGCGGCGGUGAUAUUCGCGCUAAAAUUAUGGAGGCAUUACUUAUACGGAAAACAUUGUGAGAUCUACACGGAUCACAAGAGCCUUAAAUACUUGUUCACCCAGAAGGAGUUAAAUUUGCGACAACGGCGGUGGUUAGAGUUGUUGAAAGAUUAUGAUGUUACUAUUCUAUACCACCUCGGGAAAGCAAAUGUGGUGGCCGAUGCACUUAGUAGAAAAUUGGGAGAAAAUUUGGCUUCUGCAGUUACACCCCAACCAUUAUUGCAAAAGGAGAUGCAACGGCUUGGUUUAGAAGUAGUGGAGCCGGGAGUGCUGGCUACAGUUGUCGCGUUAGUAGUGCAACCGACCUUGUUAGAGAGAAUAAAAGAGCUGCAAGCUUCCGAUGAGUAUCUCCAAAAGGUGCGCGGUGAAGUCGAGAGCGGUAGUGCCGAUGAUUUUGGCAUUGGGACCGACGGCGCACUCCGGUUUAGAAACCGUUGGUGUGUGCCUAAGAACAAGGACUUCCGCAGGACGAUUAUGCAAGAGGCGCAUCAAUCUCCUUAUAGUAUACACUCGGGCGGCACCAAAAUGUACCAAGAUUUGAAAUUGCAUUAUUGGUGGCCAGGCAUGAAGAAAGACAUUGGGGAGUUUGUUGCGCAAUGUCUUACUUGCCAACAAGUAAAAGCGGAGCGGCGGUUUCCGGCGGGAAAGUUGCAAAGUUUACCUAUACCCGUUUGGAAAUGGAAAAAUAUCGCAAUGGACUUCGUGACCGGAUUGCCUCGAUCUCAAGGUGGACACGAUGCAAUUUGGGUGAUAGUAGACCGGUUGACGAAGUCGGCACAUUUCCUACCGAUUCAUAUUACUUGGUCGGGGGACAAGUUGGCUCAACUAUAUAUCGACGAGGUUGUGAGACUUCACGGGGUACCAGUAUCCAUUGUAUUAGAUCGGGACCCGAGGUUCACAUCUCAUUUUUGGAGGAGCCUACAGGAGGCCUUAGGCACACGGCUCGACUUUAGUAGGCAUUUCAUCCUCAAAGUGAUGGUCAAUCGGAGAGGACAAUAUAAAUACUUGAGGAUAUGCUUCGAGCGUGUGUACUUGACUAUAAGGGUGGUUGGCACGAUCAUCUACUGAUGGCGGAGUUCCCGUACAAUAACAGUUAUCAAGAAAGUAUCGCGAUGGCGCCAUUCGAGGCCCUUUGUGGAAAGAAAUGUCGCUCUCCAAUCCAUUGGAGCGAUGUGGGCGAGAGAGCUACUCUUGUUCCGAAUGUGGUGCGGGAGGCGGAGGAGAAAGUUCGCCUUGCCCGCCAAAGACUCACUACGGCGCAAUCUCGAUAAAAGAGCUAUGCCGACAAACGGAGAAAGGACAUAGAGUUUGCAGUUGGCGACCACGUCUUUCUAAAAGUGUCGCCGAUGCGAGGAAUUAGACGGUUUGGGCUCCGGGGGAAGCUAAGUCCCCGGUACCUCGGACCGUUUGAGGUAUUGGAGCGGGUCGUCACGGUGGCGUACAAGAUAGCAUUACCACCGAGCUUGCGGGAGUGCAUGAUGUAUUUCAUGUAUCGAACCUCCGCAAGUAUGUUCACGACCCCGAUCAUGUUCUGUCGUAUGAACCGUCCGAGAUCCAAGAGGACAUGAUCUAUGAAGAGUUCCCGGCAUAUAUCAUCGAUCGAGAAGUAAGAAAACUACGAAAUCGCGAGAUUCCGCAUGUUAAGAUCCGUUGGUGCAAUCACGAUGAUCGGGAAGUCACUUGGGAGCUCGAGAGCGCAAUGCGGGAACAUUAUCCUCACCUCUUUAACGAGCUGAAUUGAGGUAUGAGUUUAAGUCUAAGAUAAUUUAGUUUCGUGGACGAAACUAAAUUUAAGGGGUGGAGAAUGUAACAUACCGAAACCUCGGUAAUUAAAUUUGAAUCUUGGUCAAAUUGACCAAAGUGCGAGAUUGGUACACUUCGGAGAGACCGAAGGCGUCAAAUAAUGCAAAAUGCAUUACUGGAGAUCUUCGAGAGCUUCUGGAAAUCAAAAUCUGCAAAUUGCAGGUUUUGUGCUCUCGGGGACCGGUCCCGGUCCCUGGUGGGAGAGACCGGUCUCCGAACGUGUAGGCAGCGAGGUGGCUGAGAAAUUGGCUAAGUUCUGAAAAAUCAGCUCUCGGGAACCGGUCCUUGCGAGGAGAGACCGGUCCCCCAGAGACCGGUUCCAUCGAGGGAGACCGGUUGCAUCAUGCGCAGCCUGCGCAGUCCGCGGGAGAAGCUCUCGGGGACCGGUCUCAGGUCGGGGAGACCGGUCCUUCACUGCGGAAAAUGCCCAGUUUGGGCAGUGCACAGGGAAUAAAGUGGAGGGGCCUUGUUGUAAAUGUUACAACACCUUAUAUACCCAACCCCCUCUCCUUCUACAGCCAUUCACACCUCUCCCUCUCAUUUUCUCUCCUCUCUCUCUCUCUAGAAAUCACCUAGGGCUUGAAGGAGAAGGAGAAGAAGAAGAAGAAGAAGAAGCUUGAGGAGGGAUUUUUGGUGGACUUGGUGGGUCUAGGAGCUCUCCAACAAGAAGGAGCUUGCUAGAUCUUGGGCCAAGGUAAGUUUUUAGCAUGUAGAGCUCUAGGGUUUGGAGUUUAACCUUAGAUUUUGGAGUUUUGGUGUCACGCCCCGGGACCGGCGGAGGCCCUCCCGGUAGCGUGCCCAGACCCGCCAUAUGUCUACACAUAUAAGGCGUCUAGAAUAAAAGCGGAAGUAAAGGCAAGCAGGAGAACAAAUAGAAGAAGUGAAAUAACAAGCAACUAAUGAUAUCAGAGCGAGUGAAGUUCUAACAUCUAUACUAAUAGUAAUAGAGCAUAACUAAAACAUAAAAGUAAACAUAAGUUAUACAGUAUCAGCCUCUAAUACAAAAAUGGUGGUCUCUAGUACACUGGUAAACUCUCGACCUCUCCAAAAUAAAGUACAACGAGAGGUAGACCACCUAGCAAAACGUCCUCGAAGGAAGCUAGCUCGAAGCAACUCCCUUCCCGCGGUCCCUGGCCUCACCCUGAGUGGAAGGCUCUGAAAAACAUCGAGAAAAAGAGGGCGUGAGAACUAUAAUUUAUAGUUCCCAGUGGGCAAUUACUGANNNNNNNNNNNNNNNNNNNNNNNNNNNNNNNNNNNNNNNNNNNNNNNNNNNNNNNNNNNNNNNNNNNNNNNNNNNNNNNNNNNNNNNNNNNNNNNNNNNNNNNNNNNNNNNNNNNNNNNNNNNNNNNNNNNNNNNNNNNNNNNNNNNNNNNNNNNNNNNNNNNNNNNNNNNNNNNNNNNNNNNNNNNNNNNNNNNNNNNNNNNNNNNNNNNNNNNNNNNNNNNNNNNNNNNNNNNNNNNNNNNNNNNNNNNNNNNNGGGGAGUCACUCGUCACAACUCCGUCGGACUCCGUUGGCCAGGGACCGUCCGCUCUGGCCAAGGGCUUGCGCAGAAGCGUCACCCUCUGGCCAGGGCGCGUCCCUCUCUGGCCAAGGGCUUGCAACCUAAAAGCCCAAGCGUCGCUCUCUGGCCAGGGACGACCCCUCUCUGGCCAGGGAGACCCGCUUUUGACGGGUCAAGCCCGACUACAUUUUAACCCAAAAACUCCCCGGAGAACCCUAGAACAAUGUGAUCUACCCGAAUAAUCGGUAAAGUGAGGGAAGGGAGGAGUAAAGAGUGGUGGGAUGUGGAAGAUCUCUCUCUUCUUCUUCUUCCUCCUCUUCUUCUUCUCCUCGAUCAAACUUCCUCGAACCUCGAGUUGGGGAAAGAGAGAAAGGGUGGAAACGUUCCGAACCUCGAACGAACUUCCCGAACCACCACCUGGUUAGAAGUUGGGAUCUUCUAAAACCCGAACCUAACUUCGAAGGUUUCCCAAUCAUAGUACAAAGGGAGGAGAUCUAAGAACAAAAACACUAAAAACCCUCUACUUUGGGAUCUUUACUCUAAAUCCCGAAUAAAACCCGUAAAAACUAGAUCCCGAAAACCUGGGUUUAGCUAACCGAAUCUUGGAAGGAUCCCGAACCUAACCUUCCCAAGAUCGAGAGAAAACCUCGAAACCUUCUCUAAAGAUGAGAACUCCACUCAAAACCGAAAAAGCGAAGAUCCAAUUACAACUAUAAUAUUCUACCAGCAUUACGGGAGCAUAGAGAAGCGACUAAUGAAAAUCCCAUAAAACUCUGAGCCCCUGUUGAACCAAGCCGCUCCGCUCCGAGAUGCGCUGCCAAGCCACCCAAACUGGAUCGGUGUGUUUCUCUUUAAGAGUAAACACGAAUUAAUUCACAACAAUUUACUUUUUCGUACGUAUAAGAACAAUAUACAUAAAUAACACUUAAAAUCUUACGAAUUUUCCGGAUACGAUAUAUAUUACUUUAAAACCUGGAGAUACAUCAUCUCUCAUCGAAUAAUCCGGUAUCAACGUAAAUCGUAAGAUACACUCUGCACCAUAGUACGAAGAUAUCAUAUUUACUCAAGCCUAAGUACGCAAAUUUGGAUUCAAAUGAACACUGCACUUUUAACUGUUCUAACUGUAAAUCUUCGAUACCCUUAAUCUCUCGAUUACAGUAGUUCGCCGUAACUCGAGCCCUGUACACACUUGGAUCACCUAUCCCGGUAGCUCCCUGAACCCUAUGUACAACCUGUGGUUUAACGGAUUCACAGUAAUUCCCCGUGAUCCGCACCGUUUACAACUUUGAAGUAUAACACUAAAUUUGAUCUAGAAACCCUACGAUCACUGGAAUGGUACAAUCUCUGUACUCUUAAACUAUAAACUCUGAACCUGAAACGAACGAACGGUAAACACGAGUAAGCGUGUACGAACACUCCCAGCGAGGGAUGUUCGGCCGUGAGGCCUCAAUCGGAUACGCUGAAUACAAGCGAGCACGCCAUAGCUCUUCGGAUGCCCCAGCUCACCCUGUCUGUGUAAGGUACUCAUCCUUACAGUCCGAUGGUGUCCGUGAAUCCGCCGUGUUCGACCUGAUGGAACCCAUCCAGGGAUUAACCUUUACCUUUAGCUGUGUCAAACUCUUACUUGUGAGGGAUGAUCAAUCCGAAUCAUCAACCUCAUGUAAAUGUACGUAUAUCGUAUCUCAACUCUGUACAUCAUGUGAACUGUCAAUGGAUAAAGUAGUAUCAUAUGAACCAACGGUGCUAUCUCGAAUAUGUAGUACAAACUUAUUUCCCAACAUAGUCAUUUGAUAACAGUAACCAAUGAAAAGGGGAUACUAUCUUAUAUUCAUGUUAUAAAACUGUAGCACGAAUACUCCCUAAAUAAUCAUAUCGUUAAAUGAAUACGUGAGAGGAAGUCGUCAAAUAAAUGUACGAGGAAGGAUAACGAAUAAUGAUAAUCGUAAUGAAUGGACCGGUCUCUCCUUCCAGGGACCGGUCCCCGAGAGUGAAAACUCUCAGGACUUGUCCAGAAUUUCAGUUUUCAAACUUUUCGGGUCGGGAAACAUUUUACAACCCUCCACCAGGUGUGGAAAAGCUCGAAAUACAUCCAAACACUCGAACCUCGCAAUUUGCAAAGGUCCAGUGUGUUACAUUUGGUCUCUUUAGAGACUUUAGAAGAGUAGUAGAGCUAUGAACACCAUGAAACUCUAGUUUUCUUCAUGGUGCUCUAAUGGAGGAUUUUUAGGGUUUACAUUUUAAGCCCUAGAGAUCGUUGGGAUGGUUCUAAAUGAGCUUCUAGAGGUUAAACAAGCUCUCUUUUGCUUGUUUUAGAGAUCAAAACCUAGAGUUUAGCAAUGGGUUUGGUUAGGGCACCAAAUUUUGGGCUUUUGUCCCCGAGUGUUUCUAAGGCAAAUUGACUUUGUAGAAACCUAAUUGGGAGUACUCCCGACGCGUGGGACAACUCCGUUUAACAUUACGAAAAGGUUUAGAUGGAGUUAUUGAUAAAAAGCCUGAUUCGGCUUCGUUUUGCCACAGGCGAAAAAUUAAAGCUUCAAAAAUUCCAUGAAAUUCACCGUAGCAUCCUCUCAAUCUUCUAGGUGGGUGGUGCAUUCCAAGGACCUCGAAAAUCUCUUUAUGUCUAAAGUGUCAUGUUUGAACAUAUAUGUAUAUAUUGAGCAUGUUGGAUAGUAGGGUUAAUUGUGAAUUUAAUUUCGUAUGAAAUACUUGUAAGAAUGUGAAUGGAUCGGAGGCUACCUGAUUAUCCCGGUAUUCUACUUGUAGAAAUGAAGUGGAAUUGAAUCAGAUCGGACUUCGGGGAACUCGCUAAAGUAAAGGGCUACUGGCACUGAAACUGGUUUGCGUGAUAACGUUCUGUCGAGGAAGGACUUUAUUCGCAAUGGGAAUAGGCUAGCCCGCACAAGACUUGCCCGUACACUGCCCCUUCUUCUUCCCAUUACUUAGGGAUUUUCUUAGGCUUCUUGAACCGACACUUGAACUUCAAUCGAGUGGCGAAUCUACCUUUGAUAAAAGUCCUGCCUUUCAACACCUGAGAUGAGAACUGAACUUGCAGUGGCACUUGAACUGUUGACUCUCCCAACUCGUUGAAACCCGCCUAACGAACUUGCAACCAACUAGCUCACUGGAAAAGACCUUUUAUUGAUUCCCAAAGGAAUGCCUUUCGACUGGAAAGAAGAGUUUGACUUUUUUCCAGGCAUAGGUCAAAUGGAUUUCUUCCGCGUGACAGCCGAUAGUCUUCUUGGGCUUUUGCUUUCACUCUCUUUUCACUCCAGACUCACUGGCUUGAAACCAACAGGAUGGUUAGAUAAUUCAUUCACUUUAGAGGUCAACACUUCUGGUGCUUUACUUGGUGAUAACCCUAUUUAUGCAUGACAAGUGACAAGAUCCUAGGAGGGUUAGUGAACAAAAGUGACACAUGGACAUAGAUCUAGUGAGUGACAUUGAUGAGUCUAUAACACCUAGAAAUACAAGUGUGGCAUUUGGCAUGAGAACAAGAACAUAGCACUUAAAAAAUAAGUGUGGCAUGAGUACAAGAAUUUAGUGGUGCAUAUGACACUAGCGAUAGUAAAGAAUGCAAAGAAAAGAAUGAUUGAGACAUUAUGACAUUUCAACCUUAGAGUUAAGGGUCAUUGAGCAUGGUCUUCCUUAAAGUAAGGAAUGGAUUGAACUUGGAAUCCUCAAUGUAGGAUUGAUCGUACUCACCUUUAGUCCUUGCUCGAGGGUGGUAGCUCCCCCUCGGACGAUGUGCUCCGGAGUCGACAUCACUGGGUCGUAGCGGAUAUCUCCCCAGAGGACGGUCCUAUCGGGUUGUAGCGGGUAUCUCCCCGGUUAAUAGGAUUUUAGGUUGGUGAGUUUGUUGAGGGCGAAAUCUACGGGUUAGCCAAGAGAUUGGGUAAAGAAAUUGUGAUCCUGCAUCCAUCAUGAGCAUUAUAUCGAGCAUCGCAUUUUAUAUUGUUCAGGCAUAUUAGUUGCAUUUAUUAGCUGGUUACUUUCUUUCCUCUAUUCUAUUAUGCCUGAUUAGACCUAGUGGGAUAGUCGGCGUGGUUGAUUGCCGAACCCACUGGGAACUUUGUUGUAGUUCUCACACCCCUAUUUCCAUAGAGCCAGGACCGAGUGAGCCGGCAGACGACCGCGGUAAGGGCAUCGCGCCCUAGGUAGAGACCACCCGAGAUGUUCUAUUUCAUAGUUGCAUACCCUUUGAUAUAUCAUCUUUUGUAUUUGAUGGUUUUAGCACCAUGAACAUAUUUAAAUGAAUGAUGUAAAUGAUACUUACUUUAGAUGUCAAAUGUUAUAUUUUGGAGAUAUGAGAUGUAAAAAGAAAUGAUGAAAGAGCUGUAAUAGAACUUGAUAAGUAGUAAACAUGUAUGUGAUUUAAAAUUAAUCAUAUUACUUGUUGUUGUUAGUUUAGCACUUUCACUAUUGGCUAUUGCUUGCCCUCGUGCAAGCCAUUGUGUAUGCUUCCGCUUAUGCAAUCCUUAUACUCUAUUGAUGCUUGUUGUUGAGCCUUGGGCGGACAGGGGAGGCUCUGUCCGUUCAGCGUCUGUUCGACGCUCUUGAACCGGCCGAAAGGAUCGGGCUCGGGGCGUGACAAUAGUUGUUUUGCUACUAUAGUAGAUAUUCAUGUAUCCUUUCUGUUCUAAUUACAGUAGCGGUAGCCGUUAUUCAGUAUAGUUCCUACUUUCUUUCAGUUUAUUGCUACUGUAUUCAGUAUAUCUGCUCAUUUUCUUGUCUAUCUCUUCCUGAUCUGGUGAGUACUCAUCGCCUUCAUGAGCUUGCGGUACCCACUGGGAGGGGAGACAUGUUUACAUGUUCUUACCUCCCCCACUAUUUUUCAGAUAUUGCGGGCGGUGAGCUUAAGACGAGACGUGAGACAUGUGGAUAGCCGUCGAUAGAACUUUUGACCCGGUUUGUGUAGUUUAGUUACUACCUUUGUUAUUUCUGUUGAUAUGACUUAGACACCUAUAUGGUUUAGCAUUUCAUUAUGUUUAAUUAUUUAAGAUUUCAGUUGGUUUUCCGAAUGAGAUAAAGAUUUUUGAAUUUUUGUAAAAAGGAAAGGUUUUCUACCCCUCGUGGUGCGUGUUUUAAAAAGAAAAGGUUUCUGUGUGGGAAACAACUUUCAAAAGAGUUUUCUCAUGGUUUUCUUGAAUUAGUAUUUCAAAAUAAGUUUCUGGGUAGGAAACGUUUCAACUGAUAGUUGUGGAUUUAUAUUCAGAUCUAUGUUUAUGAACCUGUGGUGAAUGGUGUAUGGAUAUUGAAUGUAUGAUGACUUGUAUAUUCAUUUAGUUGUGGUUGUAUCCUGUUUUACAUCUUGUACUUGUGCGACGCCGUGCAAAUACAGGGGAGACUCUGUCCGUGUGAACAGUGGAAUCCCUGUAUUUGUGGCGGAUCUGGUAUACCCUGGGGUCAGGUUUUAAAAAAAAAAAUUUCUAGUCACUUCCGCUGUAUUUUCAAACUAAAAGGUACCCCAGGGCGUGACAAUUUGUUGGGUUUAUAAUAAUUACACAGUUGCUACUAUUUGUUCUGCUAUCAUUUUCCUUACCAAAUUUUGGAUUGCAAAAUCAUAUAUAUUUUUCUGCAUUUUGUGAGGAUCUAUUUGUUAAGCAGUCUAAAAGUACUAUUUUGCUUGAUAAUUGCUAGGUACGUCCCUUUUAUUCAUAUGUUUCUCAUAUUAUACUAAACGUUGCACAUUUUCUACAUCGAUUUGUUUUUAUUAUUGAAUGUAAAAUGGUUUCUUCCAUUUUUCUAUUUACGUUUUACGUUUUUCUAGGGCAUCGUCAAAUAAUUAAUAAAUGGAUUGCAAAGUAAUGUGCAAAGAAAGGCGGAAACUUCGUAAAUCUAUUCUCGAUAGGCGUAGAAAUAAUGUGGGGUUUUCGGCCACGACAACUUUGCCUGGCAAUGAUGAAUAUUUGUCUUUGCAUUGUCAAUUAACUGAUAUUUCGCGAAGAAAACAAAAACGAAAUUCGGAAGAUGACAAAUUACCUGUUGCUGCAACAUAUAAAGGGCAAGACAUAGAAGAUUAAACCUUGGGUUGCAAGAAUAUGAAUGCCAGUCGUGCGGUGCUCUAUUUUGGUAUGAUGAAAGGAUCAAAUCUGGCAAUGAAAAUAUUCCUCGAUUUUCACUUUGUUGUGGUGAUGGCAAAAUUUCUCUACCAUUAUUGCGAGAAACCCCUGAUAUACUAGAUCAUUUACUGAACUAUAUUCGGAGUGCUUACUCAGUAAAUUUUUGAGAAAAUAUUUGUGUGUACAAUUCUAUGUUUGCAUUUACAUUGAUUGGGGCCAAAAUUGACAAUGAAAUAAAUAGAAAAUCGGGUCCUUACAUAUUCAGAAUUACUGGACAAAAUCACCACAGAAUGGGUUCUUUGCUACCUGUUGAUGGAGAACGGCCCAAAUUUGCUCAUUUAUAUAAUUAUGAUACGGAAAAUGAAAUUGAAAAUAAAAUGCAGGCAUUUAAUGCGUCUGAUGAACUUCAAAAAAUUGAUAGAAAUAUUGUUGGACGCCUUCUAGAAAUGUUCGAUAUCAAAAAAUGUGAUAGUAAAAUCAUUCAGAAUGGCAAGGGACCGAUUUAGAGAAAAUGAUUAUUUGCCUAUUCGUUUGCGAUUGAUCGGAAGUCGAGUUGACAGAUCACAAUAUAAUCCUCCCUCAUGUUCUGAGAUUGCUGGAUAAAUAAUUGGUGAUUUUGGUAGUGCAGAUCGUCAACGAGAUAUUAUGGUUGAGCACAAAAUGGAAGGACUAAAGCGAAUAAGUGAUUUGCAUCCUUCAUUCAUGACUAUAUAUGUAGUAUCCUGUAUUGUUUCCGUAUGGAGAUGAUGGUUUUAGAAUUGGCAUCAAAUAUAAUAAUGAUUCACGAAGAAAAGUUGUUCAAGGAAAUGUGUUACAAUGCGUGAAUUUUAUACUUACAGAAUACAAAAUCGAAUAAAUGAAGGAAAGACACUAAUAAGAAGAGGUAGACUUUGUUGGCCUAGUAGCCUUAAUCUUCUAUUAGAUUUUGAUGAUAACAAAUAAUUACGAUUAUUGGACUAAUCUUUUAUCUUGAGUUUUAUGUUUUAGAUCUCUCGAUAUUCAGAAAGGAUUCAAGAUGGGCAAUAUCCUAGCACCAAGCUUCACCACUUGAAGCUGUAUUUGCUUCCUUUGUCAAAUAGACAAACUCACUCUCUCCAUUCUUAAUUUGCUUCCUUUUACCUUAUGAUUAGAGUGAGAAAUUUUGAGCUAAGUUUAAACUAUUCAUUUUAUCACCUUAUAGAUCACUUAAACAAAUUCCUAACUUGUGAUUAGGUGAAUAGAAUUUUUAAAUAUUCAAAAACUGCUCAAAUUCUAUGUUUUGUCAAAUUAAAAUUUCUGGAUCCUGUUCUGAGCGCCCUAAAGUGGAUCCGAAUCUUUUGAGACCUUUUGGAUCCUCCCUGUUUGCUGUUCGGGUGAUCCAGAAACACCGAGACUAUUUGACUUGACAGGUUGCAUAUCAGCGCGCAAUCUGGGCGCCCAGAUUUUAUGGAAGCAGUGGCGCACGCAAUAUGGACUGUCUGGCAAGAAAGUCAGCACGAGAUCUGGGCGCCCACAACUUUUGAUGGCUCGAAUCCAGAAAAACGGCGCGUGUCAGAAAAGCGGUUCCUCGUGUUCUGUGCGCCCACAACUUUUGAUGGCCCAGAACUUACGAAGUCAAGAAAAGCUGCGAGUGUCAGAAAAGCUGUCCCUCAAGAUCUGGGCGCCCACAACUUUUGACGGCCCAGACAUACAAAGUCAAGAAAAGCGGCGCACGUGGUCCGACAGGCAGUUGGCGUGCACAAACUUCUGGGCGCUCGGAAACAGUUUUAGGGCACCCGAAAGUACAACCGACAGAGGCUGCCCGAGGCUAUAAAUAGAUGGUAUUGAGGCAUCUCUCAGUAGCAACUUGAUAGUUUAUUUUGAGCUUAAAAACUUCAGUGAUCUUAACACUCUUAGCUCUCAAUUUUCUCUCUAAACUUGAAUGAAAUUUGUAGUGAGAUUUAAUCUUGUAAAAAGAAAGAAAAGCAAAGUCUUGAAGCUUGAAAGAAGAAGGAGUUGGUGUGAAGGCUUGGUGCUUGCUCGCAAAAGCAUCAUCUAGUGGAGAUCAGACAUUCUCGAGUGUUGAGAAGUUGGCGGGGACGUAGGCAAAGUGCCGAACCUCGAAACAAAUUGAUCGUGUGCUUUUCGAGUUUGCAUUUCCUUUAUUUGCAUCGGUUUUUAAUUUGCUUGAUUAUUUGGAUUUUUAUUUUAGAAACCUAAUUCACCCCCCUCUUAGGUUGCCAUUUUGAUCUUCAAUUGGUAUCAGAGCGAGGUCUCACAUUAUUUAGAUUAAAUUCUAAGUGAGAAUGGCAUCCACGGGAAAGAAUAUCGAAGGACAAUCUAUUGUUCGACUACCAUUUUUUGAUGGGACCGAUUAUCCUUUUUGGAAGACUAGAAUGAAGAUAUUCUUUCAAUCUCUAGAUUUUGAUAUUUGGGAUAUAAUCGAAAGUGGUUAUAUCGCUCCAUCAAAAUCAAGAGCGGAAUGGAAUGAAGCCGAAAAAUUUCGCUUUCAAUUGAAUGCUAAAGCUAUCAAUUCAUUCCUUUGCGCUCUUAGUAGAGAAGAGUUUCACCGAAUCUCUACAUGCACAACGGCUUAUUCUGUAUCCUAACUCGAAACGAGGAGCUCCGUUUAAACCCGUUGAAACAAAAGGCUAAGUAGUAGCGAUCUAAGCAGCCCCCGCAGGGUUAAAUCACGUAACUUCCGAAAGAAAAAGAACAGAAAGAAUUUUCAAAACAAACCUUCUCACGUAAGUGAAAAGUUUACAGGGCCAAAGAAUGUUAACAUCGUUCACUAAGGAAAGAACUUAGGAAGUGGAAACUUGGGCAGAGCAAAUCCAGAGGAGUUCAACGCGAAGAACUAAUCAGCUAGCUCGGAAAAACUUUAGUAUCGCUAAAGAAGCGAGCUUGGAAGAAGCGGUAGAAGUGAGAGCCUUCGUUACUGAGGGAAUUCACGUUCUGAAAAGAAAAAGAGUCCUUGUCGAAGCAACAGUAUAAGAAACUCCGCAACAAGUACGCGGAACUCACUAGGUUGUUCAAGUAGUUAAAAAUGAAACAGGUUCAGUACUCGAAGAACCUAUCGGCAUUGGAAUCCAUAGGUUGAAGAACCAUCAUGUGUUUCUUCAAAAGCAUGGUUCAGGCUAAUUCCUUUUAGGAAUGGAUUCCGAAAGUUCGAUAAAUAUUACAAUCAUUUAGAACACUUGUAUAAGCUUUACCUAAGUGAAAGAAGGUAAAACUUAUCAAGUAUUAAACUGUAUUCGUACAAAUAAAAUCUAAGGAAAUGGGAUCUUCAUGGAAGUACUCAUUGAAGAUUAAAUAGGGUUUAGAGAAANAUAAUUUAAGUUAUGAUGAACUUUUAUAAGCUUUCUUUUCUUUAUAUGAUAAUCUACAAAGUUUGGGUCUGAAAUAUACAUCUCUCAAAAAGUAAAAUGCCUUAUUAGAGAUGGAAGUAAACAACUUAAAAUCUUCAACUUCAAAUCCUUCUUUAAUACCUGAAAAUGAGGACCCCUUACUCACGAAAGAGCUUAAACAAGCCAAUGAGACAUGUUAUAGUCUCAAUCAUGAAAAUGAAGCAUUAAAGAAGAAAAUUGAAGGUCAAAAUUUUAAGCCAAACUUUCAUUAUGACAAACAACUUGAAAAACUUCAAGUUGAAAACCAACAACUCAAAGUUAGCUUAGAUGAAGCUAAGAAAAUAAACUCUUGAGAAAUUUGUUGGUGGAACCAAGCAUCUAAAUAUGAUGCUUGGAAGUCAAGUUGUAAACUUCAAAAAGUUUGGGAUAGGUUAUGUUCCUAAUCCAAACAAUGUUAAAUUGACAAAAGCUAAAAAAAGGUUUCUGUUAAAAGUACAAAUCAAAACCCAACUUUGCAUUGCUCCUAUUGUAAUAUUAAAGGACAUCAUAUAUCCUCUUGCAAAUAUAAGAAGAAUCCUAAACUUAACCAAAUUUGGGUUGUGAAAGGUUUAUCUAACUCAAAAGGACCCAAUCUCACUUGGGUACCAAAGUUAAAAACUUGAUUUGUUUUUGUAGGUGUGUCUCCAAUCAAAAGGUGCAAGUGACAAAUGGUACUUAGAUAGCGGAUGCUCAAGACACAUGACUUGGGAUCAAACCAAGUUUAAAUCAAUUGAAAUGAAAGACGGAGGAUUUGUCACCUUUGGAGACAACACGAGAGGAAAGAUCAUUGGAAUCGGCACAAUCGGUGAUGAAAAGGUUAACAUUUCCAAUGUUCUUUUAGUUGAUGGCCUUAAACAUAAUUUACUAAGUAUUAGUCAAUUAUGUGAUAAAGGCUAUUUUGUAAAAUUUGAAGCAUCUCAUUGUAGCAUCCUUGAUCCUUCUACAAAUGAGGUAGCUUUUAUGGGUUUUAGAUCCAAGAAUGUUUAUACCGUUGAUUUAGGCAAACUCUCACAUGAAGGUGAAAAAUAUUUUUCGGUUCAAACUAACGAAUCUUGGCUUUGGCAUAGAAGAUUAGCACAUGCUAAUAUGGACUCUCUUUCUAAACUUUCCAAAAGAAAACUUGUGAAAGGAUUACCUAAAAUAGACUAUGCCAAAGGUGAGGUUUGUAAUGCUUGUGCUCAAGCUAAGCAAGUAAAAUCAUCUUUUAAACCCAAAAAUGUUGUCUCAACAACUAGGCCUUUAGAGUUAAUUCAUAUGGAUCUCUUUGGACCAAUUGAUGUCUCUAGCCUUGGUGGAAGCAACUAUGUUUUCGUAAUUGUUGAUGAUUACUCAAGAUUUACUUGGACUUUAUUUUUAAGACACAAGUAUGAUACUUUUAAAUCCUUCAAGGACUUUGUCUAUCGUGUUCAAAAUGAAAAGAAUUGUAUAAUUUCCAAAAUUAGAAGUGAUCAUGGAGGUGAAUUCGAAAAUCAUAACUUUGAAGAGUUUUGCAAUGAAUUGGGAAUAGAACAUCAAUUUGCUACCCCUCGAACACCUCAACAAAAUGGGGUCGUUGAACGCAAAAAUAGAUCUCUCCAAGAAAUGGCUAGAUCUAUGUUAAUUGAGGGGGAGUUGCCUAAAUAUUUUUGGGCCGAAGCCGUAAACACGGCUUGCUAUAUUAUGAAUCGUGUUCUAAUUCGACCAAUCCUUGAGAAAACUCCUUUCGAAUUAUGGCAUAAUAGAACUCCCAAUAUUGGUUACUUCAAAAUUUUUGGUUGUAAAUGUUUCAUUUUAAACACAAAAGACAAGUUGGGAAAGUUUGAUGCUAAAUCCGAUGAAGCUAUAUUCUUGGGUUAUUCCUCUACUAGUAAAGCUUAUCGAGUGUAUAAUCGACGAACUUUAAUAAUAGAGGAAAGUAUGCAUAUUCUUUUUGAAGAAUAUAAGGGAAAGGAUCUUUCUUAUGAAGAUGAUCUUCUUGACUUUGAGAAGCUAAAUAUAAACUCCACACCCCAAGAAGUUGAACCAUCUAAGAAAAGUGAGGAGUUAAUCUCUAAAGAGAUUGAACCCACUCCCUUACCUAAAGUGUGGAAAUUCGCCACUUAUCAUCCCAAGGACUCCAUCAUUGGAGAUCCAAGUCAAAAAGUCAAAACAAGAUCCUCUCUUAGAUUACUUUGUGACCACUUGGCUUUCAUAUCUCAAAUUGAACCUAAAAAUUUUGUUGAAGCUAGCAAUGAUGAAAAUUGGCUCAUUGCGAUGCAAGAAGAACUUAACCAAUUUGAGAGGAACCAAGUUUGGACGCUUGUGGAAAGGCCAAGUGAUCAUACCGUUAUUGGCACUAAAUGGGUCUUCCGAAACAAGCGAGAUGAAUCAGGUGUUGUGGUUCGAAACAAGGCUAGACUAGUGGCCCAAGGUUUCAACCAAAUUGAAGGAAUUGAUUUUGAUGAAACAUUUGCACCGGUUGCUAGACUUGAAGCUAUUCGAAUUCUUCUAGCAUUUGCUUCUUAUAUGAAUUUCAAAUUAUUUCAAAUGGAUGUAAAAAGUGCUUUCUUAAAUGGAUAUAUUUCCGAAGAAGUUUAUGUUGAGCAACCACCCGGUUUUGAAAAACAUAACUUUCCGGAUCACGUUUUUAAGCUUUCAAAGGCACUUUACGGUUUAAAACAAGCUCCUAGAGCCUGGUAUGAAAGACUUAGCACUUUUCUUACUUCAAAUAAUUUUUCAAGAGGAAAAGUUGACACCACAUUAUUUAUCAAAAUUAAGGAUAAAGAUUUUCUCAUUGUACAAAUUUAUGUGGAUGAUAUUAUAUUUGGUGCUACUAAUGAAUCUCUCUGUAAAGAAUUCUCUAAGCUAAUGCAAAAUGAGUUUGAAAUGAGCAUGAUGGGCGAGCUCUCAUUCUUCCUUGGACUCCAAGUUAAACAAAUGAAAGAUGGAAUAUUCAUCAAUCAAGCCAAGUAUGCAAAAGACCUAAUCAAAAGAUUUGGCUUGGAAAGCUCAAAAGAGACGAACACUCCAAUGAGUGCCUCAACUAAACUUGACAAGGAUGAAAAAGGCAAGGAUGUUGAUAUCAAACUCUACCGAGGUAUGAUUGGCAGUUUACUUUAUCUUACCGCGAGUCGGCCGGACAUUAUGUUUAGUGUUUGCUUGUGUGCUCGGUUUCAAGCUCAACCUAAGGAGUCACACUUAGUGGCUGUAAAGAGAAUUCUUAGAUAUGUUAAAGGGACUCUCAACUUAGGGUUAUGGUAUCCCAAGGGCACUAAUUUUAAUCUCAUUGGCUUUUCAGAUGCCGACUUUGCCGGAUGCAAAGUUGAUCGGAAAAGUACGAGUGGGACUUGUCAAUUUCUUGGUCACUCCUUAGUCUCAUGGUCUUCGAAAAAGCAAAAUUCGGUUGCACUUUCAACCGCCGAAGCCGAGUACAUCGCGGCAGGUUGUUGUUGUGCACAAGUUUUAUGGAUGAAACAAACCCUUGAGGACUUUGGAGUACAUCAAAAACAAGUUCCAAUCAAAUGUGAUAAUACUAGUGCCAUCAACAUAUCUAAAAAUCCUAUUCAACAUUCUAGAACUAAACACAUUGAAAUUAGACAUCAUUUUAUUAGAGAUCAUAUUCAAAAAGAAGAUGUCACUAUAGAAUUUGUGGACACUUAUAAUCAAUUAGCGGACAUUUUUACUAAACCACUUAGUAAGGAUAGGUUCACUCAACUUAGAAGAGAAUUGGGAAUGAUUGACUUAUCUGCUUGAUUUUCUCUUUUUGAUUGACUGUUAUGAUUGCCUUGCAAUUUCUUUUGGAUACACCUUUUGCUUUGCGAAAAUUUCGGACGAAAAAUUUCGGUAGCCCGAAAAUUUCCGGGCGCCCGAAACAUGCGUUGACCGCGGUGCCCCGUCUGACCGACUUAACGGGUUACCGGGUUCCGGAUCCGGGCGACCGAUCCAACCGGCAACUCGUGCCCGAAAAUCCGCCUUGACCGCCGCGCCGCUUUGACCGCCUUAGCGGGUUCCGGGUUGCGGAUCUGGGCGACCGCGUCGACCCGCACGACCGCCCGAAACCCGCGAGGGGGCCCUCUUCCUCCCAGCCGCCCGACAGACCCAUUCCUUUCAUUUUUUUCUCUUUUUCUUCUCUUCUUCUUCCUCCACUCCGUCCGGUCGCCCAGAUUCUGCGCCCAGCCCACAUCAAAUCCGCCCAAAACUCCUCCAAAACUCGGAUUUCCUCUCCUUUCCUCCUCAGUCUGUGGUAUUUUCUUCUUCUUUUAUUUUAUUUUUCUUUUCUUUCUUCUUCCUGCUGCUUGUUAACUCUAACUUUUUUUUUGAUUACUUGUACUUUUUGCUAAAAAAAAUCUCAUCAUCCACCUUGAUCUACACUGAUCUUCCAUCUUGCUCAAUUUUUCUUUUGCAUAAAACCCUAGUUUCUUUUUUUUUCUUUUUCUUCCUGCUGUUAACCCCGACUAUGUUCUUCUUUUAUUUUUUUUACUGAUUUCUUGUAUUUUGUGCAGCAUAAUCUUUUCCUUUACCAUGAUCUUUACCAUUGCAUCCUAGAUCUUGCAUUUUGAUUCUAAGUUUAAAAAAAAAAAAAACCCUAGCUGUUAGUUUAUUUAAAAAAAAAAUGCCUAGAACUAAAAAUGCACCUCGUGGACCUUCACAAAGAGAUUAUCAAAAUGAAGAUUUUGAUGCUUUUAACUUUGUAUCUAGAGAAGCUCAAGAUAAAUAUCUUUUAGGUCGUCCCAUUCAACCUUGCUGUAACAUUUAUCAUCUAAACUUUGAUUGUUAUAAACUUUUAGAUAAGCUCACACAAGUUGGAUGGGAUUUCUUUGUUCAAAAUUCGUGACCUUUUUAUCCGGACUUAAUUAGGACUUUUUAUGCAAAUGCCACUUUUAAUUCCGAAUUUAAUACUAUUACUUCCCACUUCCGGGGACGUGUUUUUGCCAUCACUCCUAUCCUUCUUCACACUGUUUUAAACAUUCCAAACGACGGGGUUUGCUAUUACCAAACCAACACUUGGAAUUUUCCCGCAUUUUCUGAAGCGCAACUCCGCAAUCAUUUUCUCUGUGAAGAUUCUACUUCACGCGAAGAUUGCUCUCAUCUUUCCUUUCCUCACCGCCUCGCCCACUUUUCACUUACAAAAGUAGUUCUUCCUCGAGACGGUCACCACAUCGCUGUUCAAAAAAUGGAUAUUUUUCUACUUUAUCAUCUAUUUGCGGACAUCCGAGUUAAUUUGGGGUAUAUCAUCAUUCGCCACAUGGCCGUCGCCAUUUCUCAUCCCUCGCGCUCACUUCCAUAUGGCUCUUUGCUCACCGCUGUCCUCGAGUUCAUGUCGUUUGAUCUUUCCGACGUGAGGCCGAUGAAGUACCCCACUGUCAUUUCUACAGCCACUUUCUCCACUCUCAGCUUCAAGAAAAAUCGUCAUGGCAUUUGGGUAAGGAAACAUGUGAUUGAUUCGCCCAGCGAGCAUGGUGAUGACAUUGACGACGCCGAGGAUGAUCCUAUGCCUUAUGAGCCGCCCCCUCGAGCACCUUCUCCACCAGUUGAGCCGCCGCCACGGGCAUCUCCUCCACCCUUUGAGCCACCCCCUGCUAUGCCUCCGCCUUAUGCUCCUCCUCCUAUGGAUUUUCAAAACCAGGUUUUUACUUGACUUGAUAGGAUGGAAGAACAUAUGCACACAUUACAGACAGACGUUUCCGACAUCAAGGCAUACAUGGACUCUCUUUUUGGACCUUCUAGUGCCUUUUAUGCUGCGUAUGGACCCCACACUGAUCGACCAUCCUCCUCCACUAUGCCUCCACCAGUUUCGCCUACGGAUCAUGAGGACGAUGAAGGGGAUGACGAUGAUGAUGAUGAUUAGCUUAUGUUUCUACCACUUUUAUAUUUUUUUUGUGAUGACAAAGGGGGAGAACUUGCUAUGUGAUAAACUAUGCUAUGCUUGUGAUCUAUUUAUCUUUUAUUAUCACGUAUGCUAUGCUUGUGGUUUAUUAUGUUCUAUUAUGCUAUGUGAACCUCGUUUCCAUUUUGAUUUUUGCCUACAUGAUUGCUUACUUCCUUUAUUGUGAUAUAUGCUAUGCCUAUGAUUGUGUUAUAUGCUUGUUAAUUAUAUGCAUAUAUUUAGGGGGAGUAUUCUACUCUUUUCUAUUCAUUUGGAUAUUAUAUCACAUUAUUUGUCAUCAUCAAAAAGGGGGAGAUUGUUGGCCUAGUGGCCCUAAUCUUCUAUUAGAUUUUGAUGAUAACAAAUAAUUACGAUUAUUGGACUAAUCUUUUAUCUUGAGUUUUGUGUUUUAGAUCUCUCGAUAUUCAAAAAGGAUUCAAGAUGGAAAAUAUCCUAGCACCAAGCUUCACCACUUGAAGCUGUAUUUGCUUCCUUUGUCAAAUAGACAAACUCACUCUCUCCAUUCUUAAUUUGCUUCCUUUUACCUUAUGAUUAGAGUGAGAAAUUUUGAGCUAAGUUUAAACUAUUCAUUUUAUCACCUUAUAGAUCACUUAAACAAAUUCCUAACUUGUGAUUAGGUGAAUAGAAUUUUUAAAUAUUCAAAAACUGCUCAAAUUCUGUGUUCUGUCAAAUUAAAAUUUCUGGACCCUGUUCUGGGCGUCCUAAAGUGGAUCCGAAUCUUUUGAGACCUUUUGGAUCCUCCCUGUUUGCUGUUCGGGUGAUCCAGAAACACCGAGACUAUUUGACUUAACAGGUUGCAUAUCAGCGCGCAAUCUGGGCGCCCAGAUUUUAUGGAAGCAGCGGUGCACGCAAUCUGGACUGUCUGGCAAGAAAGUCAGCACGAGAUCUAGGCGCCCACAACUUUUGAUGGCUCGAAUCCAGAAAAACGGCGCGUGUCAGAAAAGCGGUUCCUCGUGUUCUUUGCGCCCACAACUUUUGACGGCCCAGAACUUACGAAGUCAAGAAAAGCUGCGAGUGUCAGAAAAGCUGUCCCUCGAGAUCUGGGCGCCUACAACUUUUGACGGCCCAAACAUACAAAGUCAAGAAAAGCGGCGCACGUGGUCCGACAGGCAGCUGGCGUGCACAAACUUCUGGGCGCCCGGAAACAGUUUUAGGGCGCCCGAAAGUACAACCGACAGAGACUGCCCGAGGCUAUAAAUAGAUGGUAUUGAGGCCUCUCUCAGUAGCAACUUGAUAGUUUAUUUUGAGCUUAAAAACUUCAGUGAUCUUAAGACUCUUAGCUCUCAAUUUUCUCUCUAAACUUGAGUGAAAUUUGUAGUGAGAUUUAAUCUUGUAAAAGAGAAAAGCAAAGUCUUGAAGCUUGAAAGAAGAAGAAGUUGGUGUGAAGGCUUGGUGCUUGCCCGCAAAAGCAUCAUCUAGUGGAGAUCCAACAUUCUCGAGUGUUGAGAAGUUGGCGGGGACGUAGGCAAAGUGCCGAACCUCGAAACAAAUUGAUCGUGUGCUUUUCGAGUUCGCAUUUCCUUUAUUUGCAUCGGUUUUUAAUUUGUUUGAUUAUUUGGAUUUUUAUUUUAGAAACCUAAUUCACCCCCUCUCUUAGGUUGCCAUUUUGAUCCUCAGACUUUUUCAACAAUAUUUAGUUGAUGCAUUCUCAUGUAUUGAAGAAGACUGGCUUGAUUAUAUUAGGAGAAAUCAGGCAGAUUUACAGUCAGAAAUUUACAAAGGAAAUAAGGAUGCUGUUAUUGCAGGUGAUAUUGAUAGCAAUGCUAUUUGGAAAAAAAUAAUACUACCAGCGAGCUUCACUGCUGGCCCCCGUUAUAUGAUUCAGAAUUACCAAGAUGCACUUGCUACCUGUUGGCAUUGUGGCCAUGCUGAUUUGUUCAUAACUUUUACCUGUAACACACAAUGUCGACAGAAUUUCCAUGUAAAUCAAUUCCAUAUAUUUUGAACCCUAAACUCGACACCCGAAAUCAACAACGCAUCAUGCCUAGCAACAAAGAACAAAAUGUUAAAAUUAAAGGGAGUCGUUAGAAUGGCCUAUAAGUAACAGAAAUUUUACACAUUUUUAUUUAGAAUAAUUACCUAUAUACCCUUUAGAACUUUUGAAAUAUCUUAUUUAUCGCUAUUUUUUUUUCUUUUCAAUAUAUCUCUCAUAUAUUCCUUCAUUAUUCCAAAAUACCUCUACAGUUACCAUCCGUUAAGUUAAUUUGAGUUAAACGUAAGUUAAAUAUUUACUAGAGUUAAAAAAAAAAAAUCAAAAUGCCUCUUUUGUUCUUAACUUAAAGGGCAAAUAAGAAAUAUUCGUGAUGAUAGAAGGAUAUAUUUGAAAAGACCAAAAAUCAAAAUACUUUGUGUACUCCUAACUUAAAGGCAAAUAAGAAAAGUCGGUGAUGGCGAAGGAUUUUUUUACAAAGUAAUCCUCUAAAAUUUGAUACUUUGCAAAAUAAUCCUCUUCAAAUUAUAUUUGGAAAACUAACCUUCCUUUUGCCAUGCAGGUGCCAGGGUGGAGAUUUUAUUUGAAGACGAUGAAUCAUUCUCCGCCUUGUGAAUCAUUCACCUUCUUUCGCUUAUUUACUGUUUCUUUCUAUUUCUCAUAUAUAAUAUUAACAACCACAUAAAAAUUUUAACAAAUUUGUCACGCCCCGGGGUCCCUUUUUUGAUUUAAAAGCAAUGCGGAAGUGGCCAAAUUUUUUUUAAAAAACCUGACCCCCCAGGGUAUGCCAGAUCCGCCACAAAUACAGGGAGUCCACUGUUAACGCGGACAGAGUCUCUCCUGUAUUUACACGGCAUCGCACAAGUACAAGAUAUACGAUACCAAAUACAACCACCACAUAUGAACAUCCACAUAUCCAUACACCAUUCACAUUCAUAUUUAUUUCAUCAUAAAUUUCUAUAAAUCCACAUCUAUCAGUUUAAAAUGUUUCCUAUCCGAAAACUCGUUUUAAAACACGUAGUCAUGAAAACCAAGAAAAACCUUUUUAAAAACUGUUUCCUAUACGGAAACCUUUUCCUUUUAAAACUCGCUACCACGAGGGGUGGAAAAUCAUUUUCAGUUUACAAGAAUUCCAAAUCCUUUAUUGCAUUCACGAAACCCAAAAAUUUAAUUCACAUAAAAUACUGAACCAUAAAUGCUGUCUAAGUUAUUUAUUUAAAGAAACUGAGUUUAGAGUUUAAACCAAUGGACGGAUCCGAAAGCUUUACCGAACCGCUAAAUACGCUCCUCACGAACCGUCCCACUAGGAACCGCGACGUCACCUGUGAUGGGGGUGGGGUGUGAGAACAUGUAAACAUGUCUCCCCUCCUAGUGGGUACCGCACACCGACGAGGGCGAGGGGUACUCACCAGUCAAGGAGAAUAAACAAAGGUAUGGGUAAGUGUAAUACAGUAGCAACAAUAAUAAAUGAACGGUAUAUAUAUAUAUAUAUAUAUAUAUAUAUAUGAACAACUACCGCUACUGUAUAUAUGCAUCAACCGGAUGACAAGUCCAAAAAUACCCAAUUUGAAAUCUGUGCUCUGUUGGUAAGCACCGCAGACCUCAAGCUGUGCCCGGUUGGUCCGCACCGCAAACCUCAUGUUGUGCCUUGUUGGCCUGCACUGCAGACCUCAAGCUGUCACUCUACCUGCAUAUAACCAAAGGUAGCCUAUGGGCUCACGGGUUGGCACCUCCAACUGCUUUUUCGGAAAAGAAUACCUUUUUGCGGAGGAUCAGAUCGUUGGUGUUCGUGAAAUGUGUACGAGUAUCGGGCGAUCAAUGCUGAUAUGCUCAAUAGUCAACCGUUGGCAACCAACUGACAAUCCUACCCCUCAGGGUAUACCGACCGUAUAGGUCAUCGAACCGUAAGGAACAUAAGUACCGACCACUCAGGUCAACUAAGAUGGAACAACUCGACAUCCUUCUGAAGAUAUACAGGUACCGACCUGUCACGCCCGGAUAUCAGCGGAAGUGUCACGCCCCGGGACCGAUACCAAUUUGGGCCGGCCCGAGCACGUCAAACAGACGCCGAACGGACAGAGUUUUUCCUGUCCGCCCAAGGCUCAUCACCUGUACAUUUUCAAAAAAGAAGUGCACUAGCGGAAACAUACACAACGGCUUACACGAGGGUAAGCAAUAGCCAUGGGUGAAAGAAAGGAAACUAAAUAUCUACUCAAGUAUUAUGAUUCAACUUUUGAUCACAUACAUUGCAAUUAACCUUCAUAUUCAUGAUUCUUUACAUUUCUUGCAUCAUUUCUUUUACAUCACAUUUGCCCAAAAUAAAUAUUACAUUCUUUGCUUUACAUUACUAAUUGAUCAAAUACAAAAGAUGAUAAAAGGGUAUACUACUAACAAAAUGUAAACCCAACUUUGGUGGCCUCUGACUAAGGUGCGAUACCUUUACCGCGGUCGCUCGCCGGCUCGCUCGGUCCCGGCUCCGUGGAAUAGUGGAGUGAGAACUACAACAAAGUUCCCAGUGGGUUCGGCCCCAAUCUCACCGACUUUUCCACUAGGACUAACUCAAGCAUAAUAGAAAGGAUAAGCAGAAUAGUAACCCAACUAUAAUCAUGAUGCUAAUAUGCCCGAACAAUAAAGCAAGAAAUAUGCUCAACGUAAAUCAUGCAAGUAUGCAAGUUCUUUGUUCUUUACUCUUUGUUCUUUUAAGCUUUAUUCUUUGUUCUUUAAUCUCACGGCUAACCCGGGGGUUUCGCCACAUUAACUUGCCCACAUUAAAUCCAUCAUCGCGGGCCCUCAGCUGCCUCCCGCUAAGACCGUCCUUGGGUUUACUCCAACCCGUGAUGCAAAACUCCGGAGCGUAUCGCCCGAGGGGGAGCGACCGCCCUCGAGCACGGAACUCAUAGCAAGUAUGAUCGAUCCUUAACUCUAAGGAUAUAUAGCUCAAUUAUUGUUUUUACACUAACUCUAGUGUUCUUUACAUCACUUUAUUUUGCUAACUCUAGCAAUCAUUGUUCUUUAACUUUACUCAUUCUUUAUGCCACUUUUAUUUUCUUUUCUUGUCUCUAAUCAUUAUCAUUAUUCUUUGCGUCACAUUUCUCUUUGAUGCCACACAUACUAACUCUAGUGUCACUUUACUUUACAUUGUCGAAUGCCACUCGAUCUAUGUUUUUAUUAUGUCACUUUGUUCUUUCCUCUCAGUGGGUGUUCAUAUUACAUCUCAUGCAUACAUAUAGGGUUAAAUAGGCUCUCAAACAUUUCAAAUAGCACGUGUACUCACAUCAUGCAACAUUCACAUUUAUAUCAUCACAUCUACCCUAUAAUGCAUGCAACAAUAUAAUAUAUGCUCAAUUGAAUGACGCAUUAGGCAUAGAAGGAAUUUCAAUAAGUUUGGAUAGCACCACCCACCUCGUAGGUGUACUAGGAUGCUACAACGAUUUUCUUGGAAUUUUUAGACUCCUAGUUCGUCACCUGCGGCAAAACGAAGCCCUAUUAGGCCAUUUUGCUCAUAUCUUUACAUCAGCUUUUCGUAACGUUAAUCCGAGCGCACCAACGCGUUGGAAAUACCCCCAAUUAGGUUUCUAGAGGGUCAAUUUCAUUGUAGAACCUUUACAAGCAAAAGCCCCAAUUUGGGUGCCCUAGCUCAUAACAUAUAUCAAACCUAAGGUUUGAUCUCAUUGGGAAGCAAAAGAAGCUUCAAUCUACACUAGAGACUCCAUAAAAAUCAUUCUUAGCUUAAUCCAAACCCUAGUUUGGGUUCUACCAUGAGAGGGGUUGAAGCUCUCCUCUAAGCUUCACCUCCAACACUAAAUCCAUGGUUUUGAUCUCAUCCACAAGCAAAAGAAAGCUUGAAACAUUCAUUAGGCUCAAUUAGAACCAUUUCUAUUUCAUUGGAUUGUCAUUUAUAGGUUUUACCAUAAAAGGGAUCAAAGCUUACCUGAAAACUUUCCCUCCUACAAGCUAGAGAUGAGGGAGAGGGAGUUUCUUCACUCUUCUUCUUCUCCACUUUCUUCCUCUUCUUUUCCUUUCCUUUCUUUGUCUUCUUCUUCUCUUUCUUGUCUUCUAGAGAGAGAAAGAGAGAAGAAAGGGAGUGUGAGGGAGAGAAUGAGAGAAAUAUCCCAAAACCCCUCACAACAUAACCCAUAUAUACAUUUUUGCAAAUAAACCCCUCAGCUUUCACUUUAUUAAACUGCUUGAACUGGGCAGUUUUUGAGUUCGGGGACCGGUCUCCCCGACUUGGGACCGGUCCUAGAGAGCUCUCCCUGUGGGCAGCCAGGGCUCUCGCGCGAUGCAAUCGGUCUCACCCCGAGGGACCGGUCUCUCUCGCAGGGACUGGUUCCCCAGAGCUGGUUUUUUGGGACUUAGCCGAUUUUCAGCCUUUCUCAUUUCUCACGCGUUCGGGGACCGGUCUCUCCCACCUGGGACCGGUCCCCGAGAGCUCAAAAACUGCAGUUUACAGAUUUUUGAUUCUUUAGCUCUCGAAAACCUCUCGUAACGCACUUUCGAUCAUUUUAACACCUUCGGACUUUUCGAAGUGUACCAUCCUCGCACUUUGGUCAAUUUGACUAAAGUUCGAUAUUUAUAUUCUGAAUUUUCGGUAUAUUACAUUCUCCACCCUUCAAAAUAAUUUCGUCCGCGAAAUUACGCAUACCUUAACUCGUCGACUCAAAUAGAUGCGGAUACUCUCUCCGCAUUGACUCCUCGAGCUCCCAAGUGGCUUCUCGCGCCGCAUGGUUGCUCCAUUGGACCUUCACAUAUGGAAUUCUGCGACUCCGCAGCUUCCUUUCUUCUCGACCGAUGAUGCACACCGGGUACUCCUCAUAAGACAUAUCUUCACGUAGCUCCACGGGCUCGUACUCUAACACAUGUGUCGAGUUGCGAAUAUACUUUCGGAGAUUUGACACAUGGAAAACAUUGUGAACUCCCGCGAGUCUCGGUGGUAGUGCGAGCUUUACGCCACCGCACCCACACGCUCUAGUAUCUCAAAUGGCCCAACAUAACGGGGGUUUAGCUUCCCGCGGACCCCAAAUCGCUUUACUCCACGCAUCGGCGAUACUCUCAAAAAUACGCGGUCUCCAACCGCGAACUCUAAGUCCUUUCUUCGCUUGUCGGCAUAACUCUUCUGUCUUGACUGCGCCGUUACUAACCGUUGACGGGCAAGACGAACCUUUUCUUCCGCCUCCCGUACUACAUCCGGGCCAUGAGCCGUUCUCUCGCCCACGUCGCUCCAAUGAAUAGGAGAACGACACAUUCGACCAUAUAGUGUCUCAAAUGGUGCCAUCGCUACGCUCUCUUGAUAACCGUUAUUAUAUGCGAACUCCGCCAUUGGCAAGAAAUCAUGCCAUCCUCCCUUGAAAUCUAGCACACACGCUUGAAGCAAGUCCUCGAGGAUUUGUAUUGUCCGCUCUGACUGUCCAUUACUCUGAGGAUGAAACGCCUUGCUAAAGUCGAGCCGUGUGCCCAACGCAUCUUACAAGCUCUUCCAAAAGUGGGAUGUGAACCUGGGGUCUCGAUCCGAUACAAUAGAUAUCGGAACCCAUGAAGUCUCACAACCUCGUCGAGAUAAACUUGAGCUAGCUUGUCUCCCGACCACAUAGUAUGUAUCGGCAAAAAGUGUGCCGACUUUGUCAAUCGAUCCACUAUCACCCAUAUCGCAUCGUGUCCGCCUUGUGACUGAGCCAAACCGGUAAUAAAGUCCAUCGCUAUAUCUUCCCAUUUCCAAACGGGUAUUGACAGACUUUGUAGCUUUCCCGUUGGAAAUCGGCGCUCUGCUUUCACCUGUUGACACGUUAGACAUUGCGCCACGAACUCCCCAAUAUCUUUCUUCAUACCCGGCCACCAAAAAUGCUCUUUCAAGUCCUUGUAUAUUUUAGUGCCGCCGGGGUGUAUACUAUAAGGAGAUUGGUGCGCUUCUUGCAUGAUCGCCCUUCGUAACUCAUCAUCUUUGGGUACGCACCAAUGAUUUCGAAAUCGGAGUGCGACAUCGGCUCUAAUGCAAAAAUCCUCGGCACUGCCGUUCUCAACUUCACCUCGUAUCUUCUGAAGAUAAGGAUCUGAAGCUUGAAGCUCUUUGAUUCUUUCCAAUAGGGUCGGUUGCACAACUAAUACGGCAAGUGUAGCCGGCACUCCCGGCGCUACCACUUCCAACCCAAGCCUUUGCAUCUCCUUUUGCAAUAGCGGUUGAGGCGUAAUUGCCAUCGCUAAGUUCUCCGUCGAUUUUCUACUUAAAGCAUCGGCCACGACAUUGGCUUUCCCGGGGUGGUAUAGUAUAGUGACAUCGUAGUCCUUCAACAACUCCAACCACCGCCGCUGCCGCAUGUUCAAUUCCUUCUGGGUGAACAGGUACUUUAGACUUUUAUGAUCUGUGUAGACCUCGCAAUGCUCACUAUACAAGUAAUGCCUCCAAAGCUUUAGCGCGAAGAUAACCGCGGCUAACUCGAGGUCGUGAAUCGGGUAGUUCUUCUCAUAACUCUUUAAUUGGCGUGAUGCAUAUGCAAUGCCUCGCCCAUUUUGCAUUAAUACACACCCGAGACCAACAUAAGAGGCAUCGCUGUAUACUACAAAAGUCUCCCCCGGAGUCAGCAAGGCAAGCACCGGGGUCGACGUCAAUCUGCUCUUUAAUUCCUCGAAGCUCCGAUCGCAAUCGUCGCUCCAAACAUACUUUACUCCUUUAUGCGUGAGACGCGUUAGUGGAGUGGUUAUUUUGGCAAAUACCUCCACGAACCGCCGGUAGUAGCCCGCAAGUCCAAGAAAACUGUGGACCUCCGCUACAUUCGUCGGGCGAGGCCAAUCCUUGAUCGCCUCUACCUUCUUCGGGUCUACCGAAACUCCGUCGCCCGAUACCACAUGACCAAAGAAUGUGACCUCCUUUAGCCAAAAGUCACACUUCUUUAACUUUGCAUAGAGCUUCUCCUAUCUGAGUAUUUGCAACACAGCUCUCAGAUGCUCCUCGUGCUUCUCUUCACUUUUCGAGUAAACCAAUACGUCGUCUAUAAACACCACGACGCACCGGUCCAACAACGGCUUGAAGACUCGGUUCAUCAAGUCCAUAAAUGCUGCCACGGCAUUAGUAAGCCCAAACGGCAUUACCGUGAACUCAUAAUGGCCAUACCGUGUACGGUACGUCGUUUUGUGCACAUCCUUCGGCCUAAUCUUUAAUUGAUGAUACCCCGAUUGGACAUCAAUCUUCGAAUACACCUUGGACCCUUGCAACUGAUGGAAUAAAUCGUCAAUCCUUGGCAACGGGUACUUGUUCUUUAUUGUUACUUUGUUCAACUCGCGAUAGUCUACGCAGAGUCGAAGUAUGCCAUCCUUUUUCUUCACAAAUAGCACCGGAGCUCCCCACGGUGACAUGCUCGGCCUCACGAAGCCCUUAUCGAGCAAGUCUUGUAGUUGGCCUUUCAACUCCUUUAGCUCCACCGGUGCCAUUCUAUACGGAGCCUUCGAAACUGGUUCCGCCCCGGGAAUCAAGUCAAUGACAAACUCGACUUCCCGGUCCGGUGGCAGUCCCGGUAACUCCGCCGGAAAUACAUCCGGGUACUCGCACGCUACUCGAAUAUGCCCCAUCUCAGGGUACUCCUUUUGAGCAUCCACCAUGGUUGCCAAAUAGGCUUUACACCCUCCUUUGAUCAUUUUCUUCGCCCUUACAGACGAUAUAGUCGCCGCGAAGCGCCUACUUUUGCACGCUUGGUAGACUAACUCUUCUUGAUUAGGCUCACGAAAAGUGAUCACCUUGCUUUCACAAUCUAUCACCGCAUAGUACUUGGAGAGCCAGUUGGUCCCCAAGAUAACAUCGAAUCCCCACAUCUGAUCUAGCACUAGCAGAUCAAUCGGCAUAAUCCAAUCGCCUAUUUGCACUGGACACGCCAAACACUCGUUAUGGACACUGAAUGAAUGCUCUGGAGCGUUCACCCACCAGUAAUCCUCAUUGUAUACCAUCUCUAUGCCAUGUGUUUUAGCAAAUGAAGUGCUAAUGAAUGAAUGAGAUGCGCCUGUAUCAAACACUGCUCUAGCUCUAGUGCCUUUAAUCACAAUUAUACCUGCCACGACGUCGUCGGGUGCUGCAGGUUGUUGCUCCUCCACCUGAGCGGCAAAGACUCGGCCGCUAGGCGCUCUCGAUCCCUCCGGCUGACGCGGUGAUGACGCGCGACCAGCUGACAUCGUUGGUGGUAACCCCGCAAGCUGUCUCGGGGUAGACGGUGCUGAUGCUGCCAUCGGCGCAGACGACGUCCAGCUCGGGCACUCCCGGAUAAGAUGUCCCGGUUGGCCACACUUGAAACACUUGCCGUCCCGCUGUGGGCAAGUCGACACUCGGUGCUCACCACCACAAAUAACACAUCGAGGAGGUCUCUAGUUCCUCCACUGCUGUUGGGGAUAUCGAGGGGGUUUCUUAGUAUUCGGCCGGCCCCCGGCACCACCCGCCGUUCGCUUCUUGCCUUUUUCUUUGCUUUCGGCCAUAGCCUCCCUUUCUUCACGUACAUGGGCGCUACCGUGCUCCGCCGACAAAGCUCUAUCGAAGACCUCCGCAAAGGUCGUCAGCUUCAGAAUCUGCACCUUUUCAUAAAUCCUCGGCUGGAGUCCUCGCAAGAACCAAUCAGCCCGAUCCCGAUCAUCUCUAACAACAUCGGGAACGCAGUCCAUAAUGUGGGAGAAUUCCUGCUUGUACUCCCCCAUCGAUCAAUUGCCCUGUCGCAACUUGCGGAACUUCUAUUGUAGUCUCCGCUUCACCGUAUCGGGGAAGUAGUUCGCGAAUACCGCUCUCUUGAACUCCUCCCAAAGCAUAAGCGAAAGAUCGGUAGGUCGAUCCUGCUUAACUCGCUUCCACCACACCAUCGCCGCCUUCUCAAGACAAUGGGUGGCGAGGUAUACUUUGUCCUUUUCUGAGGUAUUAAGAUCCUCAAAGAGCGUCUCCAUCGAGUCGAUCCACGACUCCACGACCGCUGGCUCCACCAAACCACCUUCAAAGAUAAGUGGGUUGAACUUCUUAAACUGUAUGAGAGCCGCUAACGUGCGCUCCCGCUCCGCCUCUACCGCCGCACUAUCGGGAUUUGAGGUUCCCGAUCCGGCCGGUACUACCGUAACUGGAACAGCCACUGCUGUCCCCGCUCCCUCGUCCACAUUUGGUACUACCACAGGGGGCGCGACAUGCUCGACACCCGCCUGGGCGGCCGCCUGCUGACGCUCCAAGGCCUCCUGGAGCCAUUGAAUCUGUUUCCCUUGGCGUUGAACAGACUUCGCUUAUUGCCGCACUACGCCGAUAAGCACGGCCAUCUGCUCCCUAAGCUCUCCAUCGCCACUCGCUCCGGAUCGCUCGGGCUCCGCACUCGGCUCCUCAGGCAUCGACCUUGUCUGCGGUCGACCACGAGGUGCCAUUGCUUCCAGAAAAGAAGCAACUCGCAUUAGCUACAUGACCAACAUUACUCGACCAUACCCAAUCCGGCGAAAGCAAUAUGCACAUUCGUCCUUGCCCCAAGCAUCAUGUCGUCGGCCGCCCGACACAAAACUAGAAGUAGAGGACGAACGAAAAUUAAACUUAGCCUCUAAUCACAUUAGAGACAUCCCAACUUAACCCAAUCACAUGCUUUUGCUAACUUUAAUUCCACGUCACUCACGUUUUCUAGAUCCUUAAGGUCUUCCAAUCCUAAGAGUCUUUAGGUCCAUUCCUAUUCUUUCACUCUUGGCUCUGAUACCACAAUAUCUGUCACGCUCCGGGACCGAUACCAAUUUGGGCCAGCCCGAGCACGUCAAACAGACGCCGAACGAACAGAGUUUUCUCUGUCCGCCCAAGGCUCAUCACCUGUACAUUUUCAAACAAGAAGUGCACUAGCGGAAACAUACACAACGGCUUACACGAGGGUAAGCAAUAGCCAUGGGUGAAAGAAAGGAAACUAAAUAUCUACUCAAGUAUUAUGAUUCAACUUUUGAUCACAUACAUUGCAAUUAACCUUCAUAUUCAUGAUUCUUUACAUUUCUUGCAUCAUUUCUUUUACAUCACAUUUGCCCAAAAUAAACAUUACAUUCUUUGCUUUACAUUACUAAUUCAUCAAAUACAAAAGAUGAUAAAAGGGUAUACUACUAACAAAAUGAAAACCCAACUUCGGUGGCCUCUGACUAAGGCGCGAUACCUUUACCGCGGUCGCUCGUCGACUCGCUCGGUCCCGGCUCUGUGGAAUAGUGGGGUGAGAACUACAACAAAGUUCCUAGUGGGUUCGGCCCCAAUCUCACCGACUUUCCCAUUAGGACUAACUCAGGCAUAAUAGAAAGGAUAAGCAGAAUAGUAACCCAACUAUAAUCAUGAUGCUAAUAUGUCUGAACAAUAAAGCAAGAAGUAUGCUCAACAUAAAUCAUGCAAGUACGCAAGUUCUUUGUUCUUUUAAGCUUUGUUUUUUGUUCUUUAAUCUCACGGCUAACCCGGGGGUUUCGCCACAUUAACUUGCCCACAUUAAGUCCAUCAUCGCGGGCCCUCAGCUGCCUCCCGCUAAGACCGUCCUCGGGUUUACUCCAACCCGUGAUGCAAAACUCCGGAGCGCAUCGCCCGAGGGGGAGCGACCUCCCUCGAGCACAGAACUCAUAGCAAGUAUGAUCGAUCCUUAACUCUAAGGAUAUAUAGUUCAAUCAUUGUCUUUACACUAACUCUAGUGUUCUUUACAUUACUUUAUUUUGCUAACUCUAGCAAUCAUUGUUCUUUAACUUUACUCAUUCUUUAUGCCACUUUCAUUUUCUUUUCUUGUCUUUAAUCAUUAUCAUUGUUCUUUGCGUCACAUUUCUCUUUGAUGCCACACAUACUAACUCUAGUGUCACUUUACUUUACAUUGUCUGUAACAUGCCACAUCCCUCGUAAAUCGUAUCGAGUUCCGUCAACACGAGCGGAACGCGAAACUGAACGAGUUAAAGUGGACCCAAAGUGCAUUGGAGUUCAUAAUCGGAGCAAAAAGGGACCCGGAGAGCAAAUUUGGAAAUCUGGCUAAGUCCCAGAUUUUGAGCUCUCGGGGACCGGUCCCUGAAGGAGAGACCGGUCCCCGUGCGCGUAGCCUGUCAGGAAAUCCUGAGGCAUCCGGUCCCUGGUGGUGAGACCGAUCCUCGGGAGACCGGUCCCUGACGGGCAGACCGGUCCCUCGCUGCGCAACAGCUGAAAACUCGAAAAUUUGGCUAAGUCCUGGAAAACCUCCGUUCGGGAACCGGUCCCUGGUCGGGGAGACUGGUCCCCGAAGGCGAAAAAUGCCCAGUCUGGACAGUUCAAGAGGAAACAAGUGGAGGGGCUUAAGUGCAAUUGUUACAACACUAUAUAUGACUCAUCCCCUCUCUCCCACAGCCAUUUUCACUCUUCUCACCCAUUUCCUCUCUUUCUCUCUCUAGAACUCUUGCUCUAGGGCUUGGAGAAGAAGAAGAAGAAGUGAAGAGGAGAAGGAUUUGGAGGCUUUGGAGGGUUCUACAAGCUCUCCUACAAGAAGGACUUGGAGGAGCUAGGGCUAAGGUGAGUUUUUGGUAAAAAUGAGCCUAGGGUUUGGAUUUUGGCUUAGAAGAUGGGAGCUUUGUGCUCCCUAGUGGCUUUAAAGGCUCUUUUGAGCCAUGUACACCAUGGUUCCCAUGAGAGCUUAAAGUGCUCUCAUGGUGAAUCCUUGGAAGUGGUGUUUGGAGCCCUAGAGUUGGUACCAAAGGUCUAGAAACCUUACUAGAGUGCUUCUUAGAUGAUCCUAAGCUAUUGUUUGCUUAAGAUUCGGAUCGAUUCAUGGGAAAACCCUAAAUGACAAUAUUAGGGCUGGGAUUUGGGGCUUUUGCCCUAGGAUUUUUUGGAGACAAAUUGACCCCGUAGAAACCUAAUUGGGGGUGUCCUAAACGCGUGGGACAACUUUGUUUAACAUUGCGAAAAUGAUAGAGUAUAGUUCAUGUACAAAAAGGCCUAAUAUGGCACUAUUUUGAUUAUAGGGCACGGAAUCGGCUUUCGUAAAGUGCGAGAGCUUUCAUAAUCUACACCCACACAACCAAUAGAGGUGGGGGGUGCACGCCGGAAUCGUUGGAUUCCCUUCUAUGUCUGUUAUCUAUAUUCUUGAGCAUACAUGUUUAUUUAUAUACCCAUUCAUGCAUAGUAGGGUAGAUACAUGUGGAACUUGGUUUGACUUCAUUUAAAUGCUUCUAACGUAGUUGAACAUAGCGGAUGAUAGAACCAAAUUGGACAUGUGUGAUCGGACCCUCAAGUUGUGUGAAUGUGAGGUUAGACUUGGACAAUAGAAAACAAUGGUGACAUUGACAUAGAAACAAGAUUGGCAUUGAGAGAUGACCCGUUAAACCUAGUUUAACCAAUUAUGACAUCGUCAAAGGUAAAGCCUUGAGAGUGGCAAGAAUGAAUAGGUAGAGACCUAGCAAGACAUUGGCAUUGUGACUAGUGGCUAUGAAUCCUCAAGUUGAGGACUUGAUCGAUACUCACAUUUCGUCUUGGCUUGAGGGAGGUCGCUCCCCCUCGAGCGGUGCGCUCCGGAGUUGGUCACCACUGGGCGUGGUAAAGUCCCACCAGUUGACGGUCCCUAGGGAGGUUCGAGUCCCCCGCUAUUAAGGGAUUUUGAAUGGUGAGUUAUUGGGGUUAACAAGGUUAACCGGUAAGAUUGGGUAAGAGCCGAUGCUUCUUUGAGAUUUGAGCAUGCAUGCAUUUUCUAUUAUUGCAUCGAGUAUAUAUAUAUAUCCACUGACAUUCUUUUGCAGGCAUGGUAUUAGAUGCAUUAGCAUUGGUUACUUCUCCCUUCCUUUGUAAUACUUAUGCCUGGAUGGACCUAGUGGGUAAGUCGGCGAGGUCGGUUGCCGAGCCCACUGGGAACUUUGUUUAGUUCUCACACCACUAACCCUACAGGUCCUAGCACGAGCGGGGCGGCGGAGGACCGAGGCAAGGGUUUGGCGCCGUAGGUAGCGGCCACCGGGACUUUAUACAUUUUGUAGUCAUUCCCUUUUGUUAUACAUGUAUCAACUUUAUUUUGUUGAUGUAGGAAUGAAAUGUGUAAACAAUCAUGUAUUCGGUGGAUGACUAAAUGUAAAAGAUAUGAUGGUUGAAUGGAAUGUAAUAGCUUUGUUUACUUGAAUUUGGUUUAAAUGAAAUCAAAUAUCAUGUGUGAUGUAUAUUUAGCUUAGAGCUUUCGCUUCCGUUGUUGCUUGCCCUCGUGCAAGCCUUGUAUUAUAUAUGCAAUUCUCUUGUUGAUUGUCUAUUUAUACAUGUUGUUAGAGUCUUGGGCGGACAGGGGAGGCUCUGUCCGUUCGGCGUCUGUUGACGUGACCCGAACCCGACCAAAUUGGCGGGGAUUGGGGCGUGACAUUGUCGAAUGCCACUCGAUCUAUGUUUUUAUUAUGUCACUUUGUUCUUUCCUCUCAUUGGGUGCUCACAUUACAUCUCAUGCAUACAUAUAGGGUUAAAUAGGCUCUCAAACAUUUCAAAUAGCAUGUGUACUCACAUCAUGCAACAUUCACAUUUAUAUCAUCACAUCUACCCUAUAAUGCAUGCAACAAUAUAACAUAUGUUCAGUUGAAUGACGCAUUAGGCAUAGAAGAAAUUCCAAUAAGUUUGGAUAGCACCACCCACCUCGUAGGCGUACUAGGAUGCUACAACGAUUUUCUUGGAAUUUUUAGACUCCUAGUUCGUCACCUGCGGCAAAACAAAACCCUAUUAGGCCAUUUUGCUCAUAUCUUUACAUCGGCUUUUCGUAAUGUUAAUCCGAGCGCACCAACGCGUCUGAAAUACCCCCAAUUAGGUUUCUAGAGGGUCAAUUUCAUUGUAGAACCUUUACAAGCAAAAGUCCCAAUUUGGGUGCCCUGGCUCAUAACAUAUAUCAAAUCUAGGGUUUGAUCUCAUUGGGAAGCAAAAGAAGCUUCAAUCUACACUAGAGACUCCAUAAAAAUCAUUCUUUGCUUAAUCCAAACCCUAGUUUGGGUUCUACCAUGAGAGGGGUUGAAGCUCUCCUCUAAGCUUUACCUCCAACACUAAAUCCAUUGUUUUGAUCUCAUCCACAAGCAAAAGAAAGCUUGAAAUAUUCAUUAGGCUCAAUUAGAACCAUUUCUAGGUCAUUGGGUUCUCAUUUCUAGGUUUUACCAUAAAAGGGAUCAAAGCUUACCUCAAAGCUUUCCCUCCUACAAGCUAGAGAUGAGGGAGAGGGAGUUUCUUCACUCCUCCUUCUUCUUCUCCACUUUCUUUCUCUUCUUUUCCUUUCCUUUCUUUGUCUUCUUCUUCUCCUUCUUGUCUUCUAGAGAGAGAAAGAGAGAAGAGAGGGAGUGUGAGGGAGAGAAUGAGAGAAAUACCCCAAAACCCCUCAUAACAUAACUCAUAUAUUGCAUUUUUGCAAAUAAACCCCUCAGCUUUCACUUUAUUAAACUGCUUGAACUGGGCAGUUUUCGGGUUUGGGGACCGGUCUCCCUGACUUGGGACCGGUCCCAGAGAGCUCUCCCCGCGGGCAGCCAGGGCUACUGCGCGAUGCAACCGGUCUCUCCUAGAGGGACCGGUCUCUCGGGGACCGGUCUCUCUCGCAGGGACCGGUUUCCGAGAGCUAGUUUUCUGGGACUUAGUCGAUUUCCAGCCUUUCUCAUUUCUCACGCGUUCGGGGACUGGUCUCUCCCACCAGGGACCGGUCCCUGAGAGCUCAAAAACUGCAUUUUGCAGAUUUUUGAUUCUUUAGCUCUCGAAAACCUCCCGUAACGCACUUUUGAUCAUUUUAACACUUUCGAACUUUUCGAAGUGUACCAUCCUCGCACUUUGGUCAAUUUGACUAAAGUUCGAUAUUUAUUUUUUAAAUUUUCGGUAUAUUACAGGAAGCAUACCCGGUACAUGCACAGACCCGCCAUACACCUGCAGUAUAUAAGGCGUCUACUAAAUUAUGUCAGGAAAGUACCGAUUACAAAGAGAUUCUAACAUGAUAUCAAAGCAACACAUAAACCACUAGUACUACUACUAUUAGCAGAAAAGUAAGUAUAAGUCUCAGAAACUCAACAAGAGAUAGAAACCUAAAACUAUAAAUACAUCAGUCUAAACCAACAUAUACAUCACAGGGUCGCUCAAAACUAUAUAUACAGAAAUGGUAGUCUCUCUACAUACGGUGCACAUUACUCUCGUCAGCAUCUCAAGGUAGCGAGGGGAUCACCUAGAAGGACGUCACGCUAUAUCUAGCUAGACGCGACUCCCUUACCGCGAUUCCUAGCCUCUCCCGUCGUGGCAGGCUCUGUAAAAACAACGACAAAAAGGGCCUGAGAACUAUUAAACAAUAGUUCCCAGUGGGUAAGCCGCCAGCCUGGGCGAAUUACACCACUAGGCUCAUAAUGUACUAAAGGAAAUGUAAGAACAGUUAUAGCAUGCUAGAUAUAACAUAAUUAGUGAUGAACAUAUAACUAUAACCUCAAUGUAUCAACUAAUUAGAAGCAAAUAAAGUGAUUACUAUAAGCAUAAACAUGUCAUGUAAGUGAGUAUUGUAUACCAAUUAGUGGUGAUCCUUUAUUACUGUCAUUUAGUAAUUUAAUUUAAGUCACAAGGAUCUACACGAGGUAGUCCAGCUUGCGCUGCACCUAAUGGCCCUGUGGUAGUAUGCACUCCUCACGGCAAUCCACUUCGACACCCCGCACGGGCGAGCAAUCUGCGUGUAGGCCAAUUCUGAAGUGCCGGCUUGUGGGGAGCGACCCUCACAAGCAUGUGCGAAUGAGCACAAUGGCAAGCAAACAUAAUCCAUAGUCUAACAGUUUUAGAUAAUCAUACUAUAACAUGUAAGAUUCUCAUUCUUGACCAAUAGGUCAGAAUCUAAACAUAUUGAAAAGGCUAAUAUCCACUGGAUUCAACAAAUUAAGGAAGUAAUGCAUAUGUACCUAUGUCAUGUAAGGUCCAGAUAUUUAGACUAAGCAUCAUUACUAUUACUCAUGCUUCUAUACACAUUAUAAAAGUUCCAUUUCACUCAAUAAACCAAUGUGUUUAUAGCAUUCAAUACCCGAUAUUGAGUACUUAUUCAUAAAGUUACACAUCCAAGUAAUUCUAUAGUAUCAUAUAGAACAUAGGGGUUUCACUUGUUCUGGUAAGGUCAGACCCACCUACUACUUGAUGAUCCUUGUCGAACUUACUUUUGCAGGAAAUCUGAAGCCUUCAAUUCCCCUAACAUAAAAUCCGAAAUCAACUAAGAGCUGACUUCUAUACCAAUGGUAAAACUUCACAUAAUUAUAAAAAAUAGACUAAAUCCUCACCUAGGCUUAGACUGAAACUAAACCUCUGCUUAAUUCAGGUUGAAGUACUCCCAAACUCAGUUUAAUUCAGCCCAAAAAGGGCUCAAUGUUCAGCCCAAAGUGAUCUUCGUACCUGCUGCGAACUAGUUAGAAAACUGCAUUGAAACAAUUACCAGAACAUCUAAUUUCAGCAACCUCUCACCUUGCACAUGGCUGUAGUUUGAACCCUUGCUUUGGUUCAGGUUCAGGUACUCACCUUAACCUCCAAAAGUUUCUAAAUAUCAACCAAGAACAAUCCGAUAGCCUUUGGCAAACCUGCUGGGAACACUACUCAAACAGUGUUAGUACACCUAUGCGAUUUCGUAGAAUAUGCUGGAAUUCAGCUUGCAUAGAUUCCCAACCUGAAUUCUCACAUCCCUCUGGUUAAAUUACAUUCAAAAUCAACUCAUAAGAUUGUAAUACUUGUAAUACUCCGUUUAAAGUGAAGAUUCUAGCUGCUAAGAAUACAAACUCCCAAAAUCAGCAUUCAUACUUCAUACUUAUCACUUCUAUCGCAUCAAUUAUGCGUCUAAGCACUCAAUUACCUUCUCACAGCUUUCGUAGUACCUUCCCCUAGCUUCGUAUUGAAGCUCCACAGCCACAACCCCCUUCCCGAGCUGCCAAAAUCUCUCCCCCACUCCUGCUGGUUACAAGAACUCAAAAUCACACUUAACUCUAUUAUUAACACAUCAAACUUAAAUUAAUUAAGUUGUUGCCAUAGCAACCUUUCCUUCAGCUACUUGCUGCCAAGGAGUUGCGAAAUCCACCCAAGACACCUUCUCCACCUUCUGUAAUAGCUCAUUGACCUCCCAAAGCAAUCAGCAUCAAAAGAGGAGAGGAACCUGGACCAAAACCCUUGAUUCCACUUAGAGAGAGAACACUUCCUAGAGAGAGAAAGUAAGGGAGGUGUAAACCCUUGGUUCAGAGUCCCAGUAACUUUAUCUAAAGGGCAGGGGUCGAGCUAGAGGCUUAUAGAUAAGCUAGAGAAGAGAAAAGACCAAAUUAGGCCUGCUGCCACGCAGCUGCUGCCUCUGCUGCUGGUUGUACCGGUACAGCAUCAAUGUUGUACCGGUACAACAAUGCAGAAUGGCCAAAUUUCGCAGGAGCAAUGCACUUUCUCACUUCCUGCGUUCCAAACAUCCUCAAACUCCUCCACAACCCUCUCUAAACCCUUAGAACAUGUAGGAUAGUUCCAAACACCAUUCCCACACUCGAACUUUGCAGUUUGCGAAAGUUCAGUGUACGACACGACCACUAAUAUCAACUAACAUAUAUGCACGAGGACCGACAAUAGGUCACAAGGAUGUCACGUCACGCAUCGAUAUAGGAACUAGCCGUCAGCCACUAGCCGACAAUUCCACCCCUCAAGAUAUACUGACCUCAUAGGUCAUCAGACGAUAAGAGUCACGAAACCGACCAAGUAGGUCACAAUAACGAUGCAACAAGUCGACCAAAUGGGUCAUAGAUAUGAGAUACAAGAACCGACUAACCAGGUCAUAGAUAUCACAUGUAGAUAGAACUGCUCUACUCCUACUCAUGAUAUUAGGCAUGAAAACAAUCGAGUAGAGUAUAAAGGAAACAACAUGGGCGCAAGGCUCAACAUUAUAUAUAGAUAUAUAUGCAAGAUAACAACGAAAGAACAAGGGUAAGAAGAUGUCACCGAGUGUGCACCACUGUACCUACUUCAGGUCGAAGUACCCACUUGUACAAAUACCGUAUUGGCCUUCCAACUGCGGAGAAAGUAACAACCAGACCUACGAAGGGUCCACCGGGUUAGAAUCCAACCUAUGAACAGAAAAUGCUAACUCAAAAUCCCCACCAACAACUCUACGGGAAUCGGUUUUCCAAAACCAAUUGCUGAACACGCCGGAAGUCACGGAAAUCGCAUCGGGACUCCGCCGACACCCACGAACUGUCUCGGAACUCAUCGACUCGUGCUACGAGUCACCCGCUGCCACUAAACACCAUUAUUCAUGGGACUUGGUAGCAAACACAUCACCUCACAUCGAAACGAUUAUUGUCGGAUAAUCGUUCGGAUCCGGGUUCCCGGAAGUGUCAAUUUCGAGACCGAAACCCACCGUAGCUCACCCGUCAUUUCUGAACCCUCCAAACGACGUGGGUGACUAGACAACAAGGAUCAGCGACAUAACAAUUUAUCAUGAGGCAUCGUCGGAAGAAUUCUGAACUGAGAACGCGUUCUGUCGGUGAAUUUCGCCGAAAAACGCACCGAAAAUCGACAUUUGAUUUUCGAAAAGGCUUGGGGCCUUGGCCAACCAGUCCAAAGGUUACCCGCUGCCCGCACACGCUGCCAACAGCAGCCACAAAAUGUACAAUUGCAUAAAAACCCCCGCAACUACAUAAAAUCACACUAUUUUAUGUGAUUUUCGGUGUUUUAUGGCUCGACUGCGCAAACUGAGAGUAUUCUAGCUAAGUUAAGACACCCGCUGAUAGGUCUCGGUGUGUCGGAGGCUGUGCUCACACUUCGGAGCAUGGCCGGCCACUGUGGCAAGCGCGGGAGUAACAUGAAGUUCAACAAACCCUGCGCAUUGAACCUAAAACACUUCUAAUUCGCUUAUCCGAGACCCGUUGACCCUAAUUGAGGUGAGCACUGUGAUCAGAACUGACCUACGAUCACCGUGCUCACCUUCGGAGGCAUCGAAAAAGCCUCAGGUCAUCGGAACAGAGAUCUGAAUAGGAAAUAAUGCGUAAAAAGGCUGAAAUUAAGCUUACCGGGCACAAGGGGGCCACAGCACGGCCGACGGCAGGCUGGGUAGCGGGCUGCCCGCGGCAGGCGGGUGGCGGGCGACGGAGGGAGGCCGGGGCGCGCGUCGGCCGCGAUAGAAGGCGUAAAGCAGCUAUGUCAUUGAAUGCACUAGCCACACGAAACCGCGUGGGGGCACGGCCAGGACCGCCGACGAGGAGCUCCUGGCGGUAGGCGCCGGCGGCGGGGCGAGUGCGCAGCCUGCAAGGGAACGGCCGGCCGCUCACAGCCGGCCAGCGGCGGAGGCAGCAGUGGCGGCGCCGGGGAGGAACCGAGCUCCGCAUAAGCCAAUCUCGGGCACACAUGCCUUCUCCGGCACGGCGAUGGCCCGAGCGGGCAAGGAAGGCGCGCGACGUCAUCUGGAGGCCCAGAGGAAGAGGCGGAUCGGCGGCCAGCAGCCGAGAAGGCGGCGCUUCAAGCUCGGCGCGCACAGCUCGAGCUGGCAGCAUGCCGCAGAUCCCACAGACGGUGGAGCUCGAGGCGCUGUGGCCGCCCGGGGGAGGUCGCCGGAGGUUUGGGGGGUCGCCGGAGGAAAGCCCAAGGUGGGGAGGGAUCACCUGCCUAGCUCUCGAACAGAGAGGAGGAUGGGUUGGUGGCAUAAGUGAGAGGGAGAGAAGGAAAAGGUUGGCCAAGGAGCUGGUUGGUCGACCGGAGCUCAGCCGGGGAGCGUGCGGCAUACGAGGAGAGGGAGGAGGGGCGGUUGGGAGUGAGCUGGAGCUAACAUUAGGUUUUUCCCCUGGUGCAAACCCUAAAAGCUUUAUAUACAAAAAGUUUAUUUUGCGCAAAAGUCCUCCAAAAUCCUAUAUUUUAAACUGGGUCCCUCACGGCGCGUGUAAAACGCGUGAAUACACCUCCACAUUCGUUUUCACGCAAAACGGUAUAUAAAAUAUCGAGCUUUUCACAAAAUUACCGUUUUGCCAUUAAUGACCCCUCCUCGAUCAACGCGUAAUAUCAAGAGAUCUGUCUGUCAGAUUUGCGAACGGAUCGCACCAAUGCAAUCAGAAUGACAGCGAUAUCAAACCAUGAUUUUGUUUCACCUGGUUUGGUCGUGGAUUCACGACGAAACCCAUUCUCUCUUCAAUAAGCAAAACCAUACACAAAUACAUAGAAUAUAUGUGUAUACAGUUUCCUCAAAAUCCGAGCAUCAAACCUGAAAUCCGUCGGCGCCAUUGGAUCCAGGACAGUCGAACCAUUAGAAACGAGCUAUUGGAUCACUAUAAAAGGAGUCUAAUACGCUCCAGAAGCCAUCUCCACUGAUUGGCCUCUUCGGAAAACCGGAGUUACUAUUCACUUAAGUGAUCAGUAAAGUUAGCGUAUCUUCUCCAUCCUAACUCGUUUUCUCCUAAAACUUGACGAGUACAUAUGUAAUUAAAUUACACACAACAACAUCGUCAACAAGGAGUUUAGCUAAACAGUCAAAUUCUCAGUUCUUACAAAAUCACCUAUAAUCUUAACAACCUGAAAAUCCUAAUAAUUUAUCCAUACAAUUUCAUAUAAUCUUAACAGCCUGAAAAUCCUAAUAGUCUAUCCAUAUAAUUUUAUAUAAUCUUAACAGUCUAAAAAUCCUAAUAGUCUAUCCAUAUACUUUUAUAUAAUCUUAACAGUCUAAAAAUCCUAAUAGUCUAUCCUACAAUUUCAUAUAAUCUUAACUGUCUGAAAAUCCUAAUAAUCUAUUCAUACAAUCCUAACAAUCAAAAAAAAUCCUAAUAAUCUAUCCAUACAAUCCUAACAAUCAAAUAAAAAUUCUAAUAAUCCAUAUAUAAUCCUAACAACUUCACUUUUUUCUAUUUCCUAUAUAAUCCACGCACAAUUUUAGUGAAUAUGGCGAACGAUUCACUCCCUUUAAAAAAAAAAAAGGAAGAAAGCGAUGAACAUUUCACCGUCUUUAAAAGAAAUUGGAGAAUGCGGGGAAUGAUUCACCGCCUUUAAAAGACAUAGGCGAACACGGUGAACGAUUCGUCACUUUUCGAAAAUAACCUCACGUGACUUUUACGUGGCGAAAAGAGGGUUAGUUUGCCAAAUAUAAAUUUGACAAGGUUAUUUUGUAAAUUAUAAAAUUUUGGAGGAUUAUUUUAUAAAAAAAUUCGAUGGUGAAAGGGUAUAUUGAAAGGGCAAAAUAGUAAUUUCAUACAGAUAAUAGUUAUUGCUAACAGUUCAUUAACGGAAUUUAACUCUAUGGGUAUAUUUGAAAUAGUUUGAAUGUAAAAAGGGUAUUUUCAAUAUAAUAUUAGCCUUCUAACAGAGUAAAUCAGAAAGUCUGAAACUUUUCAAUUGUAUAUAUGCAAUUGCCCCUUUUUAUUUUAAUGUAAAAGAUGAAUUUUAUUUGAAUAUCUUUAUUAUCAAGAAUUAUGGCUAUCUUUUUUCCUUUUUUUUUUCUAAUGUAGGUAAAUUAUUAUAUUUAAAUAGAAUUAAAAAUAAUUAUCUUGAGGUAACAUUGAAUAUUAAUAUUGACAUUUAUGUGUUAUGACAAAUUGUGUAAUUUCAUUACGAAAAAUAAAAAUGAGCAUGAGUAUUAUAUUUAGUAAACUAUAAAUAUUUUAUUAAAAAUUUUAGAAAAUAAAUUGAGUUAGUAUACAGUUCAAAAUUUAGAACCAAAUAUGUAAAUAACUUUAAAUUUUUAUACUUUGUUAAAUUGAUAUUUGGGGCAAAAAUUGUCACGCCCCGGAUUUCUCGUUUCCCUGGGCACGCUAACAGACCGGCCGUAUACAUAGAAAUUUUUUCUGUAUACGAAGCGAUAGCUGUACCUCUAAACAUACAAUACUACAACUAGUAGUAUAGAGCUGCUAAAAGGAAUACAUAUAUAUAAACAUUGGUUCAAUACAUACAUAAAAUCUUGGUACAAAAACACUCGCUCCAGCGAGGAAUAACAUUAGUAUGUAAAGAACAAAAAACUACAACUACCUGUAGCUAGUACUCCUCUAGCUUUGUAACUCGUCAGGAAGGGCUCUAACUCGCAACACCCUUUCCGCGAUCAGAAUCAGCAGUAGCAGCAGCCGCAACCGGAGGCUCUGCAAAAGAUCCACAACUGGGCGUGAUAACUACUGCAAAAAGAAGUAGUCCUCAAUGGGUACCGCUAUCGAUCUCAACGGCUCACCCACUAAGUCUACAGAAGGUAUGCUCAAUGAUAGUAAAGGAACUGAAAAUAAUCUACAGUUAUAUGCCAUUAUACUAUCAUUAUCCAAUGUUAACUAUCUGUAGAAUAAUGCAAGUUCUGACCCAAUCUCACUAGGGACUGUGAAUACACCCGUCCUAGGGAUUGUGAAUACACCCGUCCUGCCUGUCGAAGCUAUACAGCUACCUCCACGCUCAGCUGUCCGUGCAGAGCAAGUCCAACCAGGAUACAACGACACCAACGCAAAUGCAUAAAACCCGACUCCGAAGUGGCACUCGUGGGCACUACCCAACCGAGUAUUCAAAUGUGUCUCUGUCGAGCUCAAUCAGGCUCUCACACGCUAUAGUCAAGUAAACAGGAUCUAACAACCGAACUCACGUGCCCUCGGUACAAUCUGAUGCAAAAACAGUAAUCUGGGUCCACCGUCAACCCCAACGGCACUCGACAGUCCGGAACAGUCUAAAUACUGCUGUAAAAAUAAGCUCGGCAUCCCAGCACGAUCGUAAAAUAUUCUACACUAUCCUGGGUAUCCACCGCCCACAAACUGCGGUGAUACAAACAAACUACGGCUCCUAGUGCUAAAUCUGGUAGUUUUAACAUAUGACAGUGUAGAAGCGUUAGUUCUCUCCUAAGUCAAAUCUAAGUCCAACAUGUAUUAUUUAACUAAUAUUCUAAGCUCCAAUUCAGAUUUAGGAACACAAUAAAUCAACAAAUCGAGCAAUGAAACAUGAUAUACAAAAAUCCACUAAUACAUGCUAGCAAUAGAACUUAGGAGGAAAUCCGCAAAAAUUCGGUAAGCAUCACUUUAACCCACCUCUAGCGCGAGUCCAACAGGCUAGAAGUCACGAAAUCAUAGGGAAGCUCAGCCGUGAUCACCUAGAACUAGCAACAAUACUUCUCCAAAGCUCUAAACACCAAAAUACUAAAAAUUGCAUUACAACCCUGAAAAUUUAGCACUUAAGCUAAAACCUCCAAUUCCAUUGUCAAAACUCACCUAUCAAACUCCAAAUCUACAAUUCAGGUGAAGAACACUCUCAAAACCAGUAGGGAAAAGUGAAGCAACUUCCUCUAGUCGAAAUUCCAGCUCUCUCCAAGAAUUGGUCCAUAAAAAUCAAAGAAAACUCAAUUUCAGGUACAAAACAGCAGCAGUCCAGAAGAAUAGUAAUUUGACCAAACUAACCUCAAUCAAAUUCUGUCAAAUUGGCACCACGUAACCUCCAAGAAGUCAGCUAACCAACAAAUCAAGUUUCGCAGCAAUCCGAUCCUCCUACGUCACACACGAGCCAAAACGCCGAAGGUCGCUGCUGCAAUUCUACUGAAACUGCAGUCCUCCAGCUUCAAAUUGUAGAAAUUUGGGAAAUUGGAGGGGUUGAAGUGCAAAAUAGGCCUUCUCUGUGAAGAAGAGGUGAAAAGAGGGGUUGAACUCUAGCUAUUUAUAGGGAGGAGAAAUGGUCAGAUAAACCCCAGGAACAAAGAACUCAAACCUACUGUUCCUGCAGAAACGGGCGAUCGGGCGCCCGGAACCAUGUUCUCGGCAUCCGCAACCUCCAGGCUGCACAAAUACUCCUCUUCAAUUCCUCCGCCUGCAGUUUGCUACGCCCAUAUCCUGGUCCAGCGGACCUCACCUACCACUAGCCACGUGUUAGUACAAACGAUAUUCCCAAAGUAAAAUUUCGGACCCACUUCGGGCGCCCGAAACUAGGAUCCGAAUUGGCUUCCAGUAUCUGUUCGAUUCAGCACUCAACUUCUGGGUGACCCAAACCGAGUUAUGGGCGCCCGAAACUGGCAAAACUCUAGUUUUACUCUUUUGAGUGCGCCAAGUCCAUUUCUGCAUCCAUUUCGUGCAGAAACGACUCCGACUCAGUCCGACACUCACCAGAUGUGUCGACCAGUCACUAAUACUGUAGCCAAUCCUAUCCAAACCUCCGGAACACUAUAAAAAUAGUAUCAUAUACAUAUAUUGUCAUGCCCCCCGCCCCGAAACCACUACCAAUUUGGUCCGGUCCGGGCGCGGCGGACGAACGCCGAACGGACAGCACCUCCCCUGUCCGCCCAAGGCUAAACAACUAGAUCAAGUACAAUUAAGCGCCUAGGAAAUGCUUAAAUAAUAUACAUGAUCAAUAUGAUGCACACAAGUGUAAUACGACUAAGAGCAAGAACCACAAGUAAAUGUACAAGUGUAUAAAGAGAGAAAUAUCUAGCUAUUACAACCAUUCAACAGUUACAUCAUCGAUUACAUUACAUUUCCAUAUUCCAAAAUGUAAAUACAUGUUUCUCUCCAAAUACAAGUAGCUCUCCAAUAUCUAUCCAAAAUAUACAUGGUAUCUAGUACACGAGGGUACUCUAAUGCAUAAAGGAAAGCUACUAGCUAACUCACUCAGGGCGUUAUGCCCUUACUGCGAUCCUCGCUCGGCGAUCUAGUCCUCGGCCCUGCAACAAAGUGGGGUGAGAACUAUAUAAAUAUAGUUCCCAGUGGGUUCGGCCGCCGACUACGCCAAUUUUCCUACUAGGUCUAAGCAGGCAUAAGCAGAUAGAUAGGUAGAUAAAUAGAUAGAAAAGUAAACUGCAACUAUUCUACCAUGCCUUCAAUAAUGAGCAAUGCAUGCAAUAUUCAUUUGCAAUGAACCUACUAUCAUGCUAGUAUCAUGUCAGGAGUAUAUAAAAGUACAUAGCAAUGCAAUUUACAACAUACACUAUGUCUACUCGAGGUAAUAAUGCAAUUCUACUAUGCCAUUCAUGUUUAUUACCCAAUCUACUUGACUAGCCCGUAGGUUAAACCCUCGACUGACUCUCAAUCUCAUAGGUGAGGAGAAGCUGCACUCGCACACCGAGACCGUCUGCGGGACAACUACGUCUGCCCCUAGUGAAGUACUCCGGAGACUCGUGCUUCGGUGGAGCGACCACCGACAAGCGAAAACAGACUAGUGAGUAUGAUCCAAUCCUCUCAAGAGGAUACCCUGUCUACUAGGGUCAAUGUGCCUCUGCUGCACAGUAUACAAUGCAUCCUAGAUGCCGGGAUUUCUACUAUCCCUAGAACCAUGUCAUGUUUACUACACUAGACUCGAUGCCACUCGUUUAGUCAUUGUAGUACUGUUCUUUAACUAGUUGACAUGCCACUCGUCCAAUUAGUGUUUCUACUACACUAGUUCAAUGCCACUCUACUAGGCUAUCAUAUGUCCAAGUUCGGCUCUUUAUGCCACUAUAGGAUUCUAUGUCACAAGACCCAAUUCUAAUGCUACCCUAGUCCAUGUGUCCAACUUACAAGUUACACUACUAAGAAGCAUGCAAGGAAUUAGAAUUGCAACUAUCUACUAAUCCUAUAAUGCAUAAUAUUCAUAUAUGACCAAUAUAAAGAACUUAGACAUAAAGAGAAACCCGGUUGCUUCGGGAUGGACACCCCCCACCUCUUGAGGGUAUGGAGGUUCUAGAAAUGCCCUCCAACGAACGUUACGACGACGUCUCGGCCUCUUAGGUCGAAAUGAAGCUUGGUUGGCCUUGUUUCGCCAAUAUCUUUUCGCCCGUUUGACGAAUCGAAAAUCCGACUUCGUCCUUGCGUUUAGACACCUAGCAAUUAGGUUAGAGGAGGGUCAAAUGAGAUCAAUCCUCUAUUUUUCCAAAAAUCCUAAUUUGGGUGCCCUAGGGUUAACACUAUGCAAACCCACUUCAAAAACCCUAGAUUCUAGUUCUAAUCCCACCAUUCAUGGUGCUAGGGAUCCAUUUAAUCCCAUCCAAAGAGCUUAACCUAAAAACCCUAAAUUUCACAACUAGGGUUAGAAGCCUACCUCUUAUUUAGCUUCAAAGAGAGAAGAGAGGAAUAGGGAGAGGUCCAAAAGCCUUCUUAGCUUGAUCUCCUUCUUCUUCUCCUUUCUUUUCUUCCUUCUUUUCCUUCUCUUUUCUUCUUCUUCCUCUCCUUUGUUCUUUCCUUUCUAGAGAGAGAGAGAAGAGAGUGUGUGAGGGAGGUGUUGGAUUUUAUCUAAUAAUAAAUUUUAAUGAUAACAAACAAAUAUUGGAUUUAAUUUGUCAUUUAGCAAUUUCAGGUUAUAGUUGAAUUUAAAGUGGCUCAAGCUGAACCGGAAUUGAUCAAAGGUAACCAUUCAAUCAAAUUGUUCAAAUUGGUCCAGACAAGAUCAAAUUGUACCAAAUUGGAUGCAAAUGCCACAAUAAUAAUUUGGAGGACUUCUUUACAAUUUAUCAGAUUUGAGCCGGCCAACCUAGUGAAGUUAACCAACUUGCGUUUUGGGUUUGAUUUGAGCUUAAUGUCAAAUUAGCCAUUAUUUUAAUAUGGUAUGAAAGUGAUUUUAUGUAUGGUAUAAAUUCAAANUUAAGGUCAAUGGUGUUGAGUAGGGCUUUUUUUUCAAAUAGCCCCCUGACAAAUUUUAUUUGCAAAAUUAGCCCUGUGUAAAAUUUAUUUGCAAAAAUGGCCCUAGCCCUGCCACGCCAGCGCCACGCGGGCAGGGCCUGGGCCAGGUAUUCAAGUUGAACACGGUGAUUCGUUCACCGUGUCUAAACACGGUGAACGAAUCACCGUGUUCAUUGUGGUCACACCCCGCGCGGGGCGUUAGUAUUGCAUUAGACACGGUGAUUCGUUCACCGUGUCUAAACACGGUGAACUGUUUACCGCGUUUAGACACGGUGAACCAUUUACCGUGUCCUUCACUUCCAUUUUUGGCCAAACACGGCCUGGCUACUUGUAUUUGGACACGGACUUAACCAUUUUCGGGGUUGCUGAGUACAUUUGUAUUGGACACGGUGAAUGGCCAGUCACCGUGUCCAGAGAACACGGUGAAUGGAUCACCGUGUCAGGACACGGUGAUCCAUUCACCGUGUCCAAUACAAAACUCUGGACACGGUGAUCCAUUCACCGUGUCCAAUACUACUGUAGCAACCCUUAAGUCCGUGUCCGAAUACAAGUAGCCAGGCCGUGUUUGGCCAAAAAUGGAAGUGAAGGACACGGUGAUUCGUUCACUGUGUCUAAACACGGUAAACAGUUCACCGUUUUUAGACACGGUGAACGAAUCACCGUGUCUAAUGCAAUACUAGCUACCCGCGCGUGAGAACACAAUGAACACGGUGAUUCGUUCACCGUGUUUAGACACGGUGAACCAAUCACCGUGUUCAACUUGCGUACCUGGCCCUGGCCCUGCCCGCGUGGCGCUGACGUGGCGCUGGCGUGGCAGGGCCAGGGCCAUUUUUGCAAAUAAAUUUUAUACGGGGCUAGUUUUGCAAAUAAAAUUUGUCAGGGGGCUAUUUGCAAAAAAAGCCCUAUAUACAACAUCCAUCUCUAAAAUGAACCCUCAGUAAGUACAAGCAACAUAGGGCAACUCUAUGAAAUCCAAUAGUAGGACAGCUCUAACCACUGGUGACACCCUUGCUGUGAGUUCUGAAAAGAAAAACAACCAAACAAUAAGAGUGAUAACUAUAAAAUAUAACUCUCAAUGAGUGCUGCCGCUGAGAGGGGUGUGCUACUUCCUAGGUCAGCUGAGGUAUAAAUAAUAAGAACUGUUGGAAAUAGUAAUAAUUGUAAUGAAAGUGCUUGUGACACCGCAAUAGUCCCACAUCGGAUGGGAAUGAGGUUGUCAUUGAGAGCCUUAACGGGGGGAGUCUGUGACACCGCAAUAGUCCCACAUCGGAUGGGAAUGGGGUUGUCAUUGGGUUUAUAAGAGACUUAGACACUAGAAAUAAUAACUGGGCUUAAGCAUUUUGGGCCGGUAUUUUGGCCUAACGAGUUAUUAUUGCUAGUGGGCUGGGUUGUUACAUUGGGCUGAGUCGUUAUAGUGCUAUAAAUAUAUGCUACUACUAUGCCGCCAAGUAAGUAUCAACUAUAUGAACUCUACUAUCACACAUGCAUUAAUUAUUUAUUGAUGUUCAAGUAUCCAUAUUUUAAAUCUCUCGAGCACUUACUCAACGUUGUUGGAUUUUAUCCAAUAAUAAAUUUUGAUGAUAACAAACAAAUAUUGGAUUUAAUUUAUUACUUAGCAAUUUCAGGUUGUAGUUGAAUUUAAAGUGGCUCAAGCUGAACUGGAAUCAUGAUUAGAGGUAACAAUUCAAUUAAAUUAUUCAAAUUGGCCCGGACAAGAUCAAAUUGUACCAAAUUGGAUGCAAGUGCCAUUACAAUAAUUUGGAGGACUUCUUUGCAAUUAUCGGAUUUGAGCCAGUCAACCUAGUCAAGUUGUUCAAUUCACCUUUUGGGUUUAAUUUGUGCUUAAUGUCAAAUUAGCCAUUAUUUUAAUAUGGUAUGAAAGUGAUUUUAUGUAUGGUAUAAAUUCAAACAUGAUUUUAUUAUGGUAUGAAUUUGAAAAUGGGAAAUAUGAUAUAAAUGUAUUUUACAAGUUUGGUAUUAUUUCAAAAGCUUUUACAAAUGUGAAAUGACUUCAAAAAGUUUUCAUUUGUAGUAUUAAUUUAAAAGGAUUUUACAAAUUUGGUAUAAUUUCAAAUGAGCUUUUCAAUAUAGUAAUAUUUCAAAUGAGUUUUGCAAAUGUGGUAUGAAUUCAAAUUUAUUUUGGAAUUAAUUCAAAUACAUUUGCAAAUAUGGUUAAAAUUCAAAUUGAAAUCAAUUAUGAUUUAAUUAUGGUUUUGUUUCAUUUUUGAAAUGAUGGCUAGUGUAUUUAAAGGGAGGCUUGGAUGUUGUUUGUACACAACUUCAGAAAAAUUCUUUAAGUCCUAAUUGUUCAUUGAUUUGUAAUUAUGAGCUUCUUGAGAGAUUGUAAAAGAAGUUUUGUGUGAUUGUAAGUGGCUUUAGUCUUGCCCUAUUCAAAAGGCCAAGUGAUAGUGAAAUCAGUACCUCGAGGAGAAGAAGGACCGGACUGGAGUAGGCAGAAGGGCCGAACUAGGAUAAAUCAUCUGUGUUAUCUGAGUUUGAUUUUCUUCUUUUAUUUAGUUGUGCAAUUUUUAUCUGGAUUUAAUUUUACUUGAGUUUUUAGUUGUCAACUAAUUCAGCCCCCCUCUUAGUUGCCAUUUGAUCCUUCAUUUGGUAUCAGAGAGCAGGUCUCACUGUUGCAGACUAACUGUCUCAUGAGAUGGCAACUUUUCACGCUAUCAUUGAAGGCCAAUCCAUCGCUCAUCCUUCUUUCUUUAAUGGGAGUAACUACACCUAUUGGAAGGUGCGGAUGCAGAUUUUUCUACAAUCCCUAGAUUUUGAUCUUUGGGGCAUUGUAGAAAAUGGCUACACUAAGCCUACCACGGCAACUAGCACAUGGAAGGCAGAGGACAAAGGUAAAUUUAAUUUGAACUCUAAAGCGAUGAAUGCUCUUCAUUGUGCUCUUGACUCAAACGAGUUCAACCGAAUUUCUACAUGCAAAACUGCAAAAGAAAUUUGGGAUAAAUUAGCCGUUGUUCACGAGGGGACAAAUCAAGUAAAAGAGUCUAAGAUAAAUAUGCUUACUCGCGAUUAUGAAAUGUUUUGUAUGCAACCAAAUGAAAGCAUUACUGAUAUGUAUACUAGAUUUACCAAUAUUAUUAAUAGUCUAAAGGCUUUGGGAAAGGCUUUUUCUGAUGCAGAUCUUGUUAGAAAAAUAAUCAGAAGUUUUCCUCAAAAUGGACCUUGGGAACCAAAGUUGGCGGCCAUUCAAGAAGCGCGCGACCUCGACAAAUUUUCAUUGGAGGAACUCAUAGGGUCUCUUAUGACUUAUGAGUUACGAUUGAAGAUAGAGCCUUCUACUUCCAUCAUCCAUACCGAAACGAAAAAUAUAGCCCUCAACUCUAACGAAGGAGAUAGAAGCGACUCUGACAAUGCCACUGACGACGAGAUCUCACAUCUUACUAGAAAAUUAAAAAAGAUCUUACAAAGAAAACACGGAGCUAAGUGGUCCGGCAAAGAUAAUGAUAGAUCUCACUUUUUUAAAAAAGAUGUAAAAUGCUACAAUUGUAAUAAAACAGGACACAUGAGUUAUGAUUGCCAAAACCAAAGUAAGUCUCCCUGAAAGGAGAAAAAGAAGAAUAAAGCCUUCUCCGCCGCUUGGAGUGAUGAUAGCGAUUCCGACAAGGAGGAAUCAACCAAGGAGGUCUCUAACUUAAGCCUCACCUAUGACGAUGCACCUUCGAAUUGUUGCUUCAUGACAAACAUAGAAGAUAAGGUAAAUGAUUUAACUUACGAUGAACUUUUAGAAGCUUUUUAUGAUCUUUAUGAUGAUCUCCAAAAAUUUGGUCCCAAAUAUGCUUCUUUAAAAAAAGAAAAUACAUCUUUAAUCUCAAAUUUAAAUUCAUUAAAAUCUGAAAAUAAAAGUUUAAAAACUGAGUUAAAUUUAUUAAAGAAGCAACUUGAGACCAAAAGUGAUGGCGAAAAUUAUAAAGAUACUAGUUUAUUUAAAACUGAAAAUGAAUCUCUAAAGAAGAACUUGAACGAUUCAAGAAAUACUUUAGAAAGAUUCAUUGGUAGCACAAAAGUUCUAAAUAUGAUGUUGGGUAAUCAAAGAUCCUAUUUGGAUAAAACUGGACUUGGAUAUCAACACAAGUUUAGUCAAAGAAAAAAUAUUUCUAAGCCAUUUGCAAAAUAUACAAACGGCAACAAGAAUGUGUUGUGUAUCUAUUGUAACAAAAUAGGGCAUCAUGUAACCCAAUAUCAAUUUAAAAAUAAGUUUAAACUUAGAUAACUUUGUGUGGUGAAAGGUUCUAACACAAGUGAACCCACAUCCAGGGUACCUUUCAUAGCUUAAAUUUUUGUAGGUAUACCUGCACUCAACAAAGUCAAGCGACAAAGGUUACUUGGACAGCGGGAGCUCAAGGCACAUGUUGGGCAACCCAACAAAUUUAUCAUCGCUUGAAUAUGAAGAGGGUGGGCGCAUAACCUUUGGAAAUAACUCCAAAGGUUGUACCAUUGGAAAAGGCUCAAUCGGUAACAAUUAAUUUUCUUUGUAUUUUUGGUGGAUUCUUAUCACUAUGGUUUAUCUUUCGUUUCAAUCAUUUUUUUUUUUUUUUUUUGGUAUAAGAUUUUCUGUGUAUUUUUUUAUAUCCUCCUUCAUCUUUUUAAAUUAUUUUUUUUGAUGAUAACAAAAGGGGGAGAAGAAAACGUUAUCUCAAAAUUAUUUUGAAAAUAUCUUUUUAUCGUGCUUAUUUUGAGGGGGAGUUUAUCUAUUACUUUAUUACCUUUUCAAAUUGUUUGUCAUCAUCAAAAAGGGGGAGAUUGUUGGAUUUUAUCCAAUAAUAAAUUUUGAAGAUAACAAACAAAUAUUGGAUUUAAUUUGUUACUUAGUAAUUUCAGGUUGUAGUUGAAUUUAAAAUGGCUCAAGCUGAACCGGAAUCAUGAUUUAAGGUAACAAUUCAAUUAAAUUAUUCAAAUUGGCCUGGACAAGAUCAAAUUGUACCAAAUUGGAUGCAAGUGCCAUUACAAUAAUUUGGAGGACUUCUUUGCAAUUAUCGGAUUUGAGCCAGUCAACCUAGUCAAGUUGUUCAAUUCACCUUUUCGGUUUAAUUUGUGCUUAAUGUCAAAUUAGCCAUUAUUUUAAUAUGGUAUGAAAGUGAUUUUAUGUAUGGUAUAAAUUCAAACAUGAUUUUAUUAUGGUAUGAAUUUGAAAAUGUGAAAUAUGAUAUAAAUGUAUUUUACAAGUUUGGUAUUAUUUCAAAAGCUUUUACAAAUGUGGAAUGAAUUCAAAAAGUUUUCAUUUGUAGUAUUAAUUUAAAAGGAUUUUACAAAUUUGGUAUAAUUUCAAAUGAGCUUUUCAAUAUAGUAAUAUUUCAAAUGAGUUUUGCAAAUGUGGUAUGAAUUCAAAUUUAUUUUGAAAUUAAUUCAAAUACAUUUGCAAAUAUGGUUAAAAUUCAAAUUGAAAUCAAUUAUGAUUUAAUUAUGCUUUUGUUCUAUUUUUGAAAUGAUGGCUAGUGUAUUUAAAGGGAGGCUUGGAUGUUGUUUGUAUACAACUUCAGAAAAAUUCUCUAAGUCCUAAUUGUUCAUUGAUUUGUAAUUGUGAGCUUCUUGAGAGAUUGUAAAAGAAAUUUUGUGUGAUUGUAAGCGGCUUUGGUCUUGUCCUGUUCAAAAGGCCAAGUGAUAGUGAAAUCGGUACCUCGAGGAGAAGAAGGACCGGACUGGAGUAGGCAGAAGGGGCGAACCAGGAUAAAUCAUCUGUGUUAUCUGAGUUUGAUUUUUUUCUUUUAUUUGUUUGUGCAAUUUUUAUCUGGAUUUAAUUUUACUUGCGUUUUUAGUUGUCAACUAAUUCACCCCCCCUCUUAGUUGCCAUUUGAUCCUUCCAACAUAUAGUCCUAGUUAGCGCCAUGCCUCAUGAUCCAUGGUAGGCACUUCCACUGUGGCAUUGUGCCUCCCCCAUAGUGUCCUAAUAGGCACUCCAAAAGCAAGGGUGAAAUGAUGUCGCAAUGGCAAUACAUUUAGAGGGCCUUAGUUUGGACGGAGCGACCAUCUCAAGCAUAUGCUAGAUGAAAAUAGUUAACUCUUACAAAUGAUAGUCUUAUGCAUAAUGUCCAAAGACAAUCGAUCUCAAUACUUAACCUUGGUCAUAAGAGUUCUCAUAUACGUUUACCCAUUACAUGUUUCAACUUAUCAAUAAGAAGUUAUUUGAACAAAUAAUACUAAAAAAAGUAUCCAAUACUAUGAGAGUAUAUGCAUCUCAACUCAACCAUACCAUGUAUAGAGAAUGAAGUACUCAUGGACAAACUAAGUAGAUGACUAUGUUCUCAAUGAAGUUUACGUAUCAAUGAAGUUCAUGCAUCAUGCUAUACAAGGUAUAUAAUAUGGAGUUUCCAACCAACAUGUAUAAGGUGAUGAUGUUAUACACUAUAUCAUCCACAAAUAUUCCAACUGUCAUGUUCACUAAUUUUGGUUAGGUCGAAUCCACUGGAUAGUCAACGAAAAUCCUUUGAUCUCAUGAACCAAUUUGUCCACCCUCUUUUCCAAAGAAUUUUCCAAUUAGCUAGUUACAACCUCUUCAAAUCAUCAUUCCAAAAUUCACCAAAAAUCACAAGAAAAAUAGGUGAAAAAUAUCUUAAUCCAAGAAAUUCUUGCAAUUUCUUCGAAUCAAGUUGUUGGGGUUUCAAUUCCAACCAACCAGAGAAUUCUAAACCUACCAAUUCCAACAAAAGCCUCACAUUUGAAAAUUUCUAAUUUUAAUCCUAAUUUGACAUAAAGAGAAAGUUCACCAAUUUACUCUCAAAUCGAACUAACUAGAGUGUUUAAACUUAGCUACUAAUCUUAAUCGCCAAGUCGUUAAACUAAGAAAAUCAAUUUUAAAUCAAAUUGAACUUCAAUUAAUUGACCACCAAGUUCUUAAACUGAAAAAAUUAACUUCAAAUCUAAUUCAUGCGCAAAUCAAAUCUGACAGCCAAGUCUUUAAACCGAGCAGAUCCAAUUCAAAUUCAACUUGACUUUAUCACCAAGUCACUAAACUGAAUUUUUUUUGUUUUUACUUUUAUAGAAUUUAUGUACAGUAAGAGUAUGCCUCUGCUUAAGCCAUAUAUUUAUUAAAUUAUAUCAACAAAAUUUCAUCAUUAUGCUUCGGUCUCUUUUUAUUAUUAGCAUCUCAUUUAGUCUCUUAAUUGGGGUUUUUUUAACAUUGCAAGCAUGGGAUAUUUAACAGCAGAUUUUUUAGUCUACUAGAAGUCAUGAAUCUAUAAAUUUGAUUUCAAAUUAAAAUUCAAAAAAAAUUGAUUUGUACCAUAAAUGACCACUAGCUGUGUAAAGGCACGUGGCGGGUUGGGCUGUUAGUGGUGGCACAAGGACAAAAUGUUUUGCUAAUUAAAGCAGAGACCAAAGAUCCUUAUGAAGUCUAUAUAGAGACCAUAUAUACAACUAUAUCAAUAUUACAAUAGAACUUUAUCUGUUUUGGUUUUGUGCCCCGUGAAAAAUUCAAAAGAAUAUUCACUACUUGCGGCCCAUUAGAUAUUACAAGCUGUCUGACACUACUGAACUAAUUUAAAUAUUUGGAAAGAGUUUCUAUUGCAAUGUAAAAUAGCAUUUGUGCAGUUCUAGCUAUCUAUUAGUGUUUUGGUGAGGCUAGGCAGGAUUGCCUUGUUUCUUCAAUUUUUUUUUCUUUGUCUAUUUUUUUUUAAUUUUUUUUUCCUGUAAGAGGCUGUAACCUUUAGACCCCUAUCCUAAUUUAAAUAUUUAAAUUUGUCAAAUAUUUGAAUUACUUUUGUAAACUCUUGUAUGGAUGUGUAAAAUCGAAUUGAGCGACAUCUGAGCAUUUUCAGAAGUUAUCGCCAUUUUUAACUAGCUCGGGUUAGUGUAGUGGUUAACUGCGAGAUAAGCAUGCUCGCCUGGAUAGCUGCUCCUACCUACCUCACUCUACUCCUUCUUUCCCUCCUUUUUGCCCUUAUCUUGUCCAAGGAAGGAAUGCUACCAUGUGGCUUUUCCCCUUCUCCCUCUUCUCCAUAUAUAUCUCUCUUCUACUUUUUUCCCUCUUUUUUCUCCUAUUCUCUUCGUUCCUACUGCUAUCACCUCCAUCUCUCUCUUUUUCUUUUCUCCUUCCUCUCUAUCUUUUUUUAUCAGCUCUACUGAUUACUCUCCACAAAAUUGAGUCAACUUCAUCCCAGGCUCCGGUGAAGCUCAGAAACCUAUCACGCUCUGAGCUAUAACGAAGGCUUUUCAGAUGCGCUAACAAACCUGCGGUAUGAACAGGGACAACCCCGUACAUAUGAAGCGUACAUAAAACUAAUACAUUAACAUCAUACACACAGGCAUAUAUAAGAGAAAUAUGCGAGUCGGGGUAUCAAAAACAAAAUGUAACUAUUGCUAUUAUAAUAAAACUUUAUAAAACUAACCAAACCAAAAUGAAAUUUACAUUGUUUUUCCAAGUACAACAAGAAAACUCCAUCAAUACAGUAUACAUAGGAGUCACUCCACUUGGUCUCACCUAGGGCUGAGUAAGUGCUAUGUAGUUCGCGAUCACUUUACCAUGAUAUUUGACGGAAGAUGAUGACUCCGAAAGAGAAACAACAAAACAAGGUGUGAGAACUAUUGAAAAUAAUUUCCAAUAGGUACAGUUGCUGAGAGGGGCGACCUACACCACUAGAUCUACUCGAUGCAUCAGCAGCAGAGAUAUAAAAAAGAACAAUAAAGUAUGAAGUACAGUAAGGUAUCCCUGUGAUGCCCCAACUUCUCAGGGGGUAACCCAUCUUAGGACUACUCCCGUUUUAGCAUUCUUUACUCUCUUAACUUCUUGGACCUAGCCACCACCCAAAAUACUUAAGUCGUGUUAAGAGUUUCAACCUUAUUAUAUCUUAUAUAUAGGACUAUCUGGGAUCUCACAUUCUUUCGCACUUUAUGACCUGACGUCCUCGUCAGACUUAGACUCACAAGUACCAGGCGAUGUGAGACUCGUCUCACUAGCCUAAACCGACUUUGUAGGGCAGCAAUGUUUUACCUACAAUAGUUAACAGCAUAAGAGCCUCGCUCUUGUCACGCCCAGGUACCAGCGGAAGCAUAUCCGGUACGUGCACAGACCCGCCAUACACCUGCAGUAUAUAAGGCGUCUACGAGAAAGUAAGGCGAUAGGAGAAAAACUUAGAAAAAUCCUAUCCUGAUAUCAGAACAAAGUAUAAGUUUCCAAUACUAUCAAUAAAAGAACAAGAGGGUCCAACUCAAAAUAUAAGUACAAAAGAAAGUACUAAACUAUAACAUCUGGAUCCAAUACUCAUAUACAUCAUAGACAACCCAAAAUAUCUCUACAAUGGUAGUCUCUCUAUACACAGGACAUCACCCUCGGCCGUAGCCCGAGUAGCAAUGUGAUCGACUAGCACGCUCCUAGCAGUGUCUAGCUAGACGCGACUCCCUUGCCACGAUCCCUAGUCUCUCCUGUAGAUGGCUCUGUAAAAAAAACAACCACAAAAAAGGAAGUGAGAACUAUAAACAAUAGUUCCCAGUGGGUAAGCCGCCAGCCUUGGCGAAUUACACCACUAGGCUCAUGAUGUACUAAAUGAAAGCAAAAACGAUACUUGCAUGAUCUAUAAGCAUGAUGCUAACAAGUAAUGAGCAUGUAAUCAGCAUGUAAUAGUUUUCUACAGUAAUGAAUAUAAACAUAAACAUAAGCACGAAUGUGUAAGUGACUACUAUACACUGUAACUGGUAAGCACUCAUUACUGUCAAAUGUUAUUUAGUACUUAGCCUCAUUUAGAAUUUUCCUUUUUUUUUCAUAUAUCAGGACCUACACCAGGUAGUCCAACUUGCGCCGCGCCUAAUGGCCCCGUGGUAGUAUACACUCCCCACGGCAAUCCACUUCAGCACCCAAUCCCGCACGGGCGAGCAAUUGUCGCGUAGGCCAACUCCGGAGUGCCGGCUUGUAGGGAGCGACCCUCACAAGCGUGUGCGAAUGAGCACGAUGGCAAGCAAGUAUAUUCCACUGUCCACAUGUCUCAAUUAUCAUGUUUUCAUUUGUAAUGUUCUCAGUCUCGAUCCUUGAUCGGAAAUUUCAAUAUAACAAAUAGUAACAACAACUAGAAUCCACUAGUUUAAUAAGCAUGCAAGAGUAAUGCUAAUUUACACCUGGCAUUAGAAUCUUUUCACUAUCAUGACACUACCAAUAUAGUCAUAAAGUAUGUCAUAGUUCUCUACUUUAGAGUCAAAAGAAUGUCAUUGUUUUUUACUUUAUAAGUGCAUCCUACACUUGUUCAUAAGUCAUUCAACUGAAUUGAAUAUAAAUACAAAUACUUUCAUAUAUAUACGUUCUCUACUUUAUAGAGGUUUCAUUCUACUUAAGCAUCAAUCAUUACGGUGCCAUGUUCCAAAUUCUCUAUCAAUCACAUAAUCACUAAAUGCACCUAUGCGAUAAUUCUAUAGGUACAUAUAGAACAUAGGGGGCUUCACUUGCUCUGGUUAGGUCAAACCCACCUAAUCCUAAGCUCAAGUCAGCCCAAAAGAAGUCCCUCAAUCUGCUCCAAUAGGCCUCAACUCCACUGAAAAACGAACAUCAAAACUGAGUUGGAAACCAUUAUUAUAAUGUCCGAAAUCGGCACAAUUUCACUUGGUACAAAAUAGCAACUUGAAUCUCUGUUUCGGCUAGUUCACUACCUCGAGUUAUGCCUCUAAGAGCCCUCACAAGUUAACUGAAGAUGAUCCAAGGCUCGAUCGUACUCCUGCUGCGAACAAUAUCAAAACGGCGUCAAAAUCAUUGAAUGCGAGUAAAUAUAGCCGGAAACUUGUGAUUUCAGUUUUCUAGCAGAAGUUCUUGCUUACCCUUGGUUAGAACACCCUCCAAACCAGAUCCCCAGGUCCUCAAUCUAGUUAAAGUAAAUUUGGAAACUUGCUGCGAAGACAUAACCUCAAACUGCGUCAAUUACUCGAUUACGUUGCAUAUAGAUCCGAAAUAGCUUCAUUAGUUGACUAAUUACCUGUAUCAAGCCUCAAGGCAACUUUUCCCUGGAUCAAAGUGGGUAAAUAACAGCUAGAUAUCUCCUUUCUAGCUGCAGGAAACCCUGGCAAACUUUGGUGGAAGCAACGGAACAAGAAUGCGUUAAAAUCCGACGAUAAACCACAAACUAGAGAAAAAUUAAGCUAAAAACUUCUCUAAAGCUCUCUUUCAGCAAUUCUCAGCAUUAAACAUGGAAAACACUGUCAAAACACAUCCCUUUACCUUUUAAAAGCUGUCCCCUAGUCCACCCAACCAGCGAGCGACGAGCGCGGCGCAAAACGGCGUCUUCAACUUAGUGAGAGAAAAUCCUAGAGAGAGAGAAGAAGAAGAAGAUGGAGGAACCUUCCUCAGAGCUCUAGCACACUCCAGCAAGUCCCAGGAGUCGUGCUGGGGUAAAGUAGAUAGGGACAAGAGGUGAAAUUACCAAAGUAGCCUUGCUGCCACAUAUUGCCACUGUGUACCGGUACACCAUAGUGGCUGUACCGGUACACCAAGCAGAAAAAACUGAAUUUCGCCAGUUCAAUGCACUUUCUUGCUUUUAACCCUCCAAUUACUCUCUAACUUAUUCAAAAAUUUGUCCAAGUCAUUUAGAACAUGUAGAAUAGUUCCACACUUCAUUCCACACACUCGAACUCUGCAAUUUGCAAAAGUUCAGUGUAUUACAGCUCUCCUAUUGUAUAAUUCUGGCUUAGCCGAGACUCAUCUCACACUUCGGCCGGUAAUUGGCUCUGAUACCAACUGUGACGCUCUAAAUUUCCAGAGGGGUCACCCAUCGUAGGACUACUCCCGUCCUAGCACACUUAACUCUCUUAACUUCUUGGGUCUAGCCACCACUCAAAAUGCUUAAGCCGAGUUAGAGUUUAACUUUAUUAUAUCGUAUAUAUAGAACUAUUUGGGGUCUCACAUUCUUCCCCCCUUUAAGUCCAGACGUCCUUGUCAGGCUCAGACUCACAAGUACCAGGCGAUGUGAGGCUCGUUUAGUCUAAAUUGACCUUGUAGGGCAACCGCGUUCUACCAACAACAGUCAACAGUAUGAGAGUCUCGCUCUCCCCGCUGUAUAAUUCUGGUUCUGCUGAGACUCAUCUCACACUUUCGGCUGGUAAUUGGCUCUGAUACCAAUUAUGAUGCCCCAUUCCAGGGGGUCACCCAUCCUAAGACUACUCCUAUUGUAAGGAAGUAAAUUCUUGAAAUGCGAGAGUUAGACUUCAUUUAAAAAUCGACCAAGGGUCGUGUUGGUAUGCUUCGGAAAAGUCGAAGAAGUCAAAAGCACCAAAAGUGCAUUGAAGUUGGACCUCGGAGAGCAAACUGUUGAAAACCUGCAUUGGGUAGAUUCUGCUCUCAGGGACCGGUCCCUGGCGGGAGAGACCGGUCCCCGUAAGCAUUGUUUGAGUCCUCUGCCAUAAUUGAAGGAAUAGUCGUUCGUUUAAGCUUGUAGGCUCUGAUACCAUGUAAGAAGAAAAGAAGGAAUAAAGCAGAGCAUGUUUUCAUUAGUUGUACAACUGUUUAUAUAUAUACAUGAGUUCAAAAUAAGUUGUUAUCUCUGUAACAACAUUUCAAAGUUGAAACCAACUAGAUGUUUGACUAUCCUUAUUCCUAGGUAGGAUGUUAUUUGUUUUCUCCAAUAGGCACAUGUCAUCAAGUGAAAAAAUUGGCGGAUCAGAAUGAGGUAAGGAUGAAUUGUAAUAGUCAAAAGACAUUGUAUUUGGUGAAAAUUUUGGUGUUUCACUUUCGAAUGAAACAAAUCGACAAUCACUACUAUUAUUUGAGAGAUACGGUGGAGAAUGGUCUUAUCUCACAGUUGAAGGUUCAUAUUAAUACAAAUCCAGUCGAUAUUUUGACGAAACCGGUUAGUUAAGAGAAGUUUAGUUGGAGAAAGACUUCUUUCGAACUUGUAGCUACAUGAGGAGUGAGAGGGUAGCAAGACCUCUGAGUUUGGUGUUCUAUAAAGUUUGGCACAUGUCAUCAAGUGGAAAAAUUGGUGGAUCAAGUUGAAGCCACAUUCUAAGUCGAUUUCACGGGCGAGGGUCAAAAAAUGGGUUACUCGAUGCUAUGUUCCGAAACCUAUUCAAGGGUGUUUCGAAACCUCAACACAUUCUUCUGUAGAACCCAAAUAUGGUGAAGUUGGUAUGAAGGCUGGUGUUCCAAAAUGCUUUGUCUAGCUUCCAUAACAUGACACUUUGCAAAGUGUCAGGUUUCAGAACCCCCUAUGUAGGCUCCAAAACAUGUAGCUGUGAUGAGCAAGAUCAAUUAAGUUGGACUUCAAAAUAGGCUAAUGUUGUGCUUUAAGAUUAGGGAUGACCUGGAAGCAUCUUGUGGAGGGUUUUUAAGUGAAAAUCAACACAUAUAAGUGAAUCAGAGGCUUGAAUGGAUAUUGACUGUUGGUGUUCUUGACCCUUAUUAGUCUACUAAAUUCUUUUUUUUUUAAUAUAUGAUGACUCUUAUUAGUAUUCGUGCAUGAAUAGUUUUUCUCUUGGUUUUUUUAUUUUCCUAUACGACAUUUUGUUUCUCUUAUAUUAAAUGCAAGAGAAAAUGAAGGAUUAUAUGGAGUUGCCUAUUUAUUGGUUGGAAUAUCCAUGAUGUGGGGUAUGCCAAAGUGCUUAUGCGCCUAGAGUUUAUAAGCGUAAGCACCAAAAUUUAGUACAAGUUAUUGUUGAAAGAUCCACUUCUUUCUAUUUGUCUUUUCUUUGUACUACAAUUUUAAGCGUGUAGUAUAAGGUGCUACAUAUAUAGUUGAAACGGGUGACUAGCCUUUUUUUUCUUCAAAACACGUACAAAAAUUCAAACAAUCUAUUUACAUGGGAUGAAGAUAGAUCGGAUAGGGAUUGACAUUUGACAAAACGAUAUCCACAUCUACAAUAUUUUUUUCAGAUACGAAUUCAAAUGCAGAUAUGUAUUGAAUAUUAAAUUUUUAUUAUCAUAUCUGCUAAAGAUAGAUACAGCUACGAUCAAAUAUUUCUUCAAAUUUGGUUUUGGAUUAGAUUUGUAAUUGGAUGUUAUUCAGAUAAUAAUAUACAAUGAAAUGCAUAUAUUGACUACAAACUAGAAUUACGUAAAUAAUACAUAAUCCAAGUAAAGUAUCACACUUGUGUUCAAACCUUAAAUGCCUAUAACUUAUUCAAUAAAUUUAAGGGCAUACUUAAUUGGUACAAAAUGAAAUUCAAAAUGGGAGGAGACAUCAAAAUUGACCACAAUGAAAAACAAAAGGGUAAAAUCUGCUAAUUUGUUUAGUUAAUAAUUUAUAUCAGAAUCGGUAUUACGUAUUAACCCAUCAUUAUUGUUUGAUAAUGGAAAAUUUAAAAUAGAUUUCCAAAUUCAUAAUAUAAAAUUAAAUUAUAUAUUCAAACUAUAAAAUUCAAAUAUAUGUAUAAAAUUUGUAUUUUAGUUCAUAGUUUACAUUCAGAUCUCUAAUGCAAAUUUUGUUUAACCAUUUGAAUAUAUAUUUUGAUCUAAAUUUGAAUUCAAAAUGAUAUAUAGAAUUCAAAAUUUAAAAUAUGUUUAAAUUAAAACUUAAAAACCAAAAUUUAAGUAGAAAUUGAAAUUUACUUUUUAAAUUUAUAAUAAAAAUUUGAAUCCUAAUUUGGACUGAGAAUUUGAGCUUAAAAAUUAAAUUUAAAUAUAAAAUCACAAUUCAAAUUCAAAUUUGAAGUCAAAAUUUGCAACUAUAUCUAACCUUAAAUAUCAAACUUGCAUUAAAAUUUAAGUUUAAAAAUUAAAAGUAAAAUUCUAUAACCAUAUUUCAAAUUCAAAUUCAAUCCAAAUUUGUACUGACAAUUUAAACUUAAAUUUUAAAUUUAAUUAUUAAUUCACUAUUCAAAUUCAAGUUCAAAGUCAAAACUAACUAUAUCUAAAUUUAGGUAUCAAACUUACAUUAAAAUUUAAUUUUAAAGUUAAAUUUAAAUUUUGAAUCCACUUUUUAAUUUUAAAUUUAAUCCUAAUUUGGACUGGCAAUUUGAACUUCAAAUUUAAAUUUAAAUAUGAUUUCACAAUUCAAAUACAAGUUCAAACUCAACAUUUAUAACUAGUUUGAAUGCAAAUAUCAAGGUUAUAUUAAAAUUUAAAUUUCAAAUCCAGCUUCCAAAUUUGAGUUUGGAAUUGCAAUUUAACCUAAAUUUAAAGUUAGAUAUAUAAUUAAAUUUUAAAUAAUUGUCAUUAAAUUUUAAAAAUAAAGUGUUGAUGCAGAAAUGAAAUUCUCUACCACUUAUACACAAGGCAAACUUUUACAGGGUGAAAAUGGAUCGGAUAUUAUUCAAAAUUAUCUUUAUCCGUAUCCGCUAUUAUCCGAAUACGGAUAGUUUCUAUCUAGAUCCGUUCAGAUACAAAUGCAGAUAUGGGUUUAGAGGGGCAAAAAUUUCAAUAUAUUCGACAAAAUCAGAUCCGUAUCCGGAUAUCCGGAUUUUUAGUAAUAGAUAAGAGUCAGGUUUAAUAUAUAUUGUGAAAAAAUAAAGUAUUUUUUUUUAUAUUUCGUUUAUGCAUCAUGAGUUUUCUAUUAAAAUUGUAUAUUAUAUUGGUGAAAAUAUAAGAUAAGUAAAUAAGGUUAAAAAAUAAAAUAAAUUUUUAUAAUUUUGUUUAUUUUUUGCAUGCAUAUUAGUGUAUAUUAGUAUCGGAAUAGUAUCUCGAUACAUAUCCGGUCCAUAUUUGAAUCUGAAAAAAUAUUCGACCAUAUUCGAAUUCAUUUUUAGCGGAUAUGGUAAUAAAAAUUUAACAUCCGAUACAUAUCUUUAUCCGAAUUCUUAUCAGGAAAAAAUUAUGGAUGUGGAUAUUCAAUAUCCAACAGUAUUCGACCCGUUUUCACCCCUAAGUUUUUAUGAUUCCUGCUGCAGCCGAGUAGUCAUUUAUCUUCCCACAAUAUUUUGUCAUCAUUCAAUAAUAUAUAUAUAUAUAUAUAUAUAGAGAGAGAGAGAGAGAGAGAGAGAGAGAGAGAGAGAGAGUCCAGCUAUGGUGCUUGUAAAAGUACAAAGCAUUUGGUGCUUGUAAGUUUUUUACCGUUAGAUCUACUCCUUGGAUCAUUUUCAACCAUUAGAUUAUACUAUUCAACCAACCACCCACUCAACCCUAGGGGGCCCACAUCAUCCUAACCGCAUAUCUCUUAAUCCAAUGGCUAAAAAUCUACAAGCACCAAUAACUUGGUACUUUUAAAAGUAUAGGAGCUCAAUUCUAUAUAUAUAUAUAUAUUUAUUAGAGAGAGAGAGAGAGAGAGUUUGAGCUAGAUAUUAUCGAUAGCAAACGGGGCUUUUUAUGCCACGAUUUUUUUUGAUGAUGAGAGCCCACCAAUCGACAUCGGUACCGUCGAACAUGAUUUAUACAACUUGAAGUGUUUAGAAAUUAAAUUUCUAUUAUUUCUUUCUUUUUUUUUUUUUUGAGAGAUAGGUAGCACACUACCCGUUUCGUUUAUUUCAUUUAGAAAUAAACUUAGCUAGAAAUAUGAAUCAAUUAGGAUUCGAACUUGGGUCUCGGGUACCAACCACCAAGCCCUUUGCCACUUGCUCUAGGGACGGUUUGUUAUCUUAUCCAUUAAGUGGACACAAAAAUGAACGGCUGAAAAUGAAUAUUCUUUAAAAAAUGAUGAUAGGAAUCUUGAAAUCAAGAUCAAGAGUAUAGAUCUUGUUUUAAAUAGUUUAAAGAAUUUUCUAACAAAAAUUCAAUUGAUUUGGAUAUCUUUACACCGUUAAACAAGAAAACGUCUCAUAUCGACCAUUAAAAUUACAAAUUUUGAAAUCCUUUGAUCAUUAGGCAAAUGAUGUCGAAAAGAUUUGAAAUUUGAUUUCUAAACAAAUCAAAUGGUAUAGAUCAUGUUCAAGCUAUUGGUGCUAUUAGUUUUUUAACCUUUGGAUUGAGAAAUAUACUGUUAGUUGAAUAGUAUAAUCUAUUAAAUCUAACGGUGGAAAACUCGAUAGCACCAAUAGUAUCCCAGCCGGACUCUCUCUCUCUCUAUAUAUAUAUAUAAUAUUGUGGGAAGAUAAUAUAUACUAAUUUAUAAAUAUCUAGAUCUGGAUUAAAUCUAACGGUGGAAAACUCGAUAGCACUAAUAGUAUCCCAGCCGGACUCUCUCUCUCUCUCUAUAUAUAUAUAUAAUAUUGUGGGAAGAUAAUAUAUACUGAUUUAUAAAUAUCUAGAUCUGGAUCUGUAUCUGAUUUUUUGGAUAUUCAAAUAAUUUUAAACUCUUUGAAAUUAUGUUUACAUUUAUAUCCGACAGAAUCCUGAUAUUUUUUCGGAUAUAAAUAAAAUUAAAUAAGGAUGCCCAUAUAUGGCCGGAUAUAUAUCCGAUCCGUUUUGAACCCAAUGUGAAAGCGUCUACUCACAAGCACUGAGUUAGUCAGUGAGAUUUGUUGCACCACUCAUUGACUUUCCAAGUGGCGUGUAUGGACAAAUGGAAUGACUCUGACUGCAAGACUUCCAACUAACAGUCCAAAGUCACAUAGUACAGACUUCCAAUUGUGUAUUGUUGAGCUAGCUAGUCUGGCGUUCUUUGCUGCAGCAUAGAGCAUUAUCUGAAAUAGGCUAUGUCAAUGGGUCGCAUUCGGAGCGAAUUUUUAAAAAGUUGAGUCCAUACCUAACUAUCAAAUUUGAAAUCCGAAUCCAAACGCGAAUUCGACGGAUUUUCAAAAUUCAUAUUCAAAUCCGAAUCCGACAAAAAAUCUAAAGUCCAAACCUGAACCCGAACCCAAAAAUAUGAACUUGAAACUAUUAUUUCACUUUACCAUAUUUCACAACAUAUUACAUUAAACUUAAAUUAAUUUUUAAAAUAUAAAUUCAAAUUUUAUAUAUAUAUAUAUAUAUAUAUAGAGAGAGANAUUUGCAAAAGUUCAGUGUAUUACAUUCACCCCUCCUAAAAAAAAGUUUCGUCCGCGAAACUUAUAAACACUUACCUCAAGAUUCUGUCGAGAAUAGAUAAGGAUAAUGCUCUUGCAUUGCACUUUCCAGUUCCCAAGUGGCUUCUCGUUCAUCGUGAUUGCUCCAAAGGACCUUCACGUAGGAUAUCUCGCGAUUUCGAAGCCGUUUUACUUCUCGAGCUAGUAUUCUCACUGGAUGCUCCUCGAAGCUCAAGUCUUCUUGUAAAUCCACUGGAGUACUCUUCAAUAUGUGAGUUGGAUCAAAAACAUAUUUCCGAAGCGUAGAUACAUGAAAUACAUUAUGCACUCUCGAUAGGCUCGGCGGCAAAGCAAGCCGAUACGCUACGGGGCCGAUCCGCUCCAACACCUCGUAGGGUCCCAUAUAUCGAGGACUCAGCUUUCCUCGAAUGCCAAAUCUCUUAACUCCUUUCGUCGGUGAAACCUUUAGGAAUACAUGAUCAUCAACUCGAAAUUCCAAUUCUCGUCGAUGUUUAUUCGCAUAACUCUUUUGUCGACUUUGCACUGUCAGUAGGCGUUCUCGUGCAAGUCGAACUUUAACUUCGGCCUCCUGUAACACAUCUGGACCCAACGCUAAUCUCUCUCCCACUUCACUCCAAUGAAGUGGUGAUCUGCACUUCCUACCGUAGAGGGCUUCAAAAGGCGCCAUUUGAAUACUUGCGUGAUAGCUAUUGUUAUAGGCAAAUUCCGCCAUUGGUAGAAACUGAGGCCAACUGCCCUGGUAAUCCAUCACACAGGCCCUCAACAUAUCCUCCAGGGUCUGGAUGGUACGCUCGGACUGCCCAUCACUUUGGGGGUGGAAAGCAGUACUAAAAUCCAAUCGGGUGCCCAAGGCUCCUGUAAACUCCUCCAGAAAUGUGAAACAAAUCGGGUGUCCCGAUCAGAAACAAUAGAGGCUGGUACUCCAUGUAAUCGCACAAUUUCAUCUAGGUACACUUGUGCGAGUCUUUCCCCCGACCAAACUAUAUGAAUUGGAAUAAAGUGGGCGGAUUUAGUCAAUCUGUCCACAAUUAUCCAAAUUGCAUCAUGACCUGCCUGAGUGCGAGGUAAUCCAACAAUGAAAUCCAUAGUAAUCUUCUCCCACUUCCACACUGGUAUGGGUAAGCUUUGAAGUUUUCCAUCAGGAAGUCGAUGUUCAGCUUUAACCUGUUGACAGGUUAAGCACUUAGCUACGAAGUCUGCAACUUCUCUUUUCAUUCCAAACCACCAAUAAGUCGACUUCAAAUCUUUAUACAUUUUCGUACUCCCAGGGUGUAACACAUACGGUGCCCGAUGUGUUUCCUUUAAAAUCUCCUCUUUAAUACCAGAAUCUGCCGGUACACAAAGUCGAUCACCAAAUUUCAACAGUCCCUGAUCAUCUACUCGAAAAUCACUAACAUGAUCAACAGUGAUCUUUGCUCGAAUCUUUUGCAGGAAUUCAUCCUGAAUUUUCUUUUCUUUAAUUCGAUCGAUCAGGGUAGGUCGCAUUACUAAUGACAUAAGUCUCCAAGGCGUAUCAGGAGCUACAACUUCCAAUUUCAGCUGCUUCAUUUCUUUUACCAACCAUAGUUGCAGAGUUAUCAACAUCGCCAAAUUUUCCGUCGAUUUUCGACUUAAAGCAUCUGCUACAACAUUAGCUUUUCCUGGAUGAUAAAGGAUAGUCAAAUCAUAAUCCUUGAGCAACUCCAACCAUCUACGUUGUCUCAAGUUUAAUUCCUUUUGAGUAAACAGAUACUUUAAACUUUUAUGAUCUGUAUACACUUCGCAACGCUCGCCGUAGAGAUAGUGGCGCCAAAGCUUUAAAGCAAAUACCACAGCUGCUAACUCAAGAUCAUGUGUAGGGUAGUUCUUUUCAUAAUCUUUCAAUUGGCGAGAUGCAUAAGCAAUUAC
rnacentral:lncRNA from 1 species